rnacentral:lncRNA from 1 species
UUUUUUUCAUGUCACAUAUUUUUGUUCUUCUCUUCUUUUUUUUCAUGUCACAUUCAUUCAAAGAGGGAUUAUUAAACACUUUGUAGCUAUCAUUGAUUAACUUUUCACUCAACCAUUAGUUUUUCUCAGAAUUGAUAAUUAGAAUAAGACUAUGCUAUAAUGCUCAAGGAAGCAAGGUGCAAAAACUAGGGAUUCAACAAAAUGGUUUAGGACAAAAUAUAGCUACCAACAAAAGGCUACAGACUCAAAAAGGCUGACUAGUGAUGUAAUAUCUGAAAAGGCUAUAAUUUAUCAGACACAUAAAAGGAAAGCCUAUUAUCAUCUCCUAAACAAAGCAACACUUUUUAUUUCGCUUCAAUUACUUGUAGGGCAAGUUCUAGACUAAGAUGCUAAACAUGGAAUAAACAAAUUCUCACCACACAUGACACAAGUAUCAAUCAAGAUGGAUCAAUUCCACCUCUAAGAGAUACAAGAUCAUAACAAACUACAAAAUAAAAUAAGCUAUAUACAAAGUCACAACCAUGAGCUUACGUGUCAAAGCGUCAGCAAUUCCCAUCCCAAAAAGUAGAAAAGACUCAAUAAAACUGUAAAUACUAGGAAUUCAUUUCUCCACCCCAUACUUAAAAAAGAUGUUAUGUCCCCAAAGUAUCAAAUAAAAUUUAAAACGAGGGUUAGAAAAACUCCCUGAGGCCUUUAGGCCUAGCUAGUAGCACGUUCUAUUAAUUUUCAUCAAGGGUCAUCACCCCACACUUAAGCUCAAACGUGUUCCUUUGCAUCAAAGUCUUGGGGACUCAGAGUACCCAUAAUCUGCAAAAUCAAUAAAAAAAUGAUAAUAAAAAAAUAAAAUAAGAAGCUAUACUAUAAAUUGGAUAGCCUUCCAAUAAGCGUAUAAUUUAACGUCGCGGCACGACACAAGUAAAUUCACUACAUUCUUACCACUUUGAACUUAUGAAUUGUACCCCUAACUUUGCAUAUAUUUUUCAACUCCUCUCAAGGGGAGGUGGUAUAAAGAUAAAGGAACCAAGUAAUAUAUGUCGCAUUUUGCACUUCUUGGCCCUUAGGUGAGGAAUGUCCUUUUCUCUACGUGGAUUAAAAAACUUUAGAAUGUAAAGACCGUUUUCCUCAUCUAUACACUCGUCCAUCAGUUCAGAUGAUAUAGAAAAGUGUUUUGAAUGAGAUUCAAGUCGCCUCAACUCCAAAGCGACAUUUUUUUAUAACUUUCUCACUUUUGUAUUCUUUCUCAACAUCUAUAUUAAGGAAUAAGUUUUAUUUGAAUGGGUGCAAUUCCUCUUUUUUCUCCACUAGUUGGUCGUCAUUCAUGACAAUUGGUAAUUGGGUUUCAGACGCCUCAAUCUUUUUAUUCAAGUCAGCCUCCAGGUCAUGAAUAUAUGAGCCAAAUUGAUCUAUUUCUUGUGUGAGCUAAACUCUUCCUUCAAUUAGUUGGGUUGUCAUGUAUAUCAGACCAUCACGAAUAGACUCUUGAAACUUUAGAAGUUGAGUUUGUUCUUGUAGCCAUGAUUGGCUCACUAUCUCUGUCUCUCCAUAGCUUUCCCCUUGUUGGGAUUCAAUAUCUUCUAAUUUAGCUUGGACUGUAAUUUCUCAUUGAAUAGCGUCAAGCUCAUCCAGCAGUUUCAUGAUUUUUGAUUGCUCUUGUCCACAUUCAAAUAUUUGCUCUAUGAUUUUUGAAUUAACUUUGUCCAACAUGUCCGUACAUUCCAUAAGUGAAUUCACAUUGUGCACCUCUUCUUUUGCAUUCUCCACUUCAUCGCCCCUGCCAACACCACAAAUAAUAGAAGAAUUGUAAUAGGAGUUUGGUGGAAGGGAAUAAUAUUUAGGAAAACCAUUACAAUGAAUAUAUUGACGGCCACAUAUAUGACAUGUAGGAGACUCGAUAUCCAAGUGGUGUCUGCUACAAAAAUUACAAAGAUUUAUAUAAGAAUUCUCAUCACCCAACCACGAUUUAUCCCAAUCAUCCAUAUCAAAAAAGACUGCCAAAUUAUUCAAACAAAAUAAUAAUAAUAAUUAAUUGUUUAGACAAAAAAUAAUAAUUUAAAAAAACAAAAAAAAAAGUAUAACCUAGAAUAAUAGUUAAUAUCUAAGUCACCGGAAGCGGCGCCAAAAACUUGUUGCUCCCAAUUGCACAUGCAAAUGUACGCGGUCGGGCAAGUAAUAUAGUGGCUCUUAAAAAACAUGAUUAUCGAACCCAAAGGACUUGUCAAUUAACUAUUUACUAAAUUAUACUAGUAUAAUUAUUGAUUUAAGAUUGCCAAAAGAAAAAACUGCAGGAAUAAAAUAAUAAAUUACUUACAGUGAUUUGGAAAAUUAUAAGGCUACAACAUAAGUUGGACUUCAUGUAUCGUAUCUCAGGCAAUGAACUAAUUUUGGUUAUCAAGUUACUGAUUUGUAAGGUUAAUUGUAUGAGUCGGGUCUCUUGACCUCUAGUCGCCUACUCCAGUUAACAGACUAACUACCUCGUUAAGCAGGGAUAGAAGGCCUUACUGGUGAGCAAUUAUAUUUCACCUUGUUUCGUAACCAAGCAAGUUAUUCAUCCAGGCGUCACUCCUGAACACACAUCAACUUAAUUGAUGAUCGAGCUUUCUAUCUUUAUUGGUCUAUCUAAUAUCUCCUCUCUCGAUUUUAAGAAUAGACAAUAGAUUUAUUUCUAUGGUGAUCAAGCAAGAAAUACGAAAAAAAAGAAUAUAAGAGUAACUUAUAAUCAUAACCAAGAAUUAAUUCAAAAUGCCUUCAAUAGUCAACAUUCAAUCCGUAGCUACAGCCCCAAAACAAAGGUGUUCACUCACUAAUCUCUAAGAAAAGAAAGAAGAAGAAAAGAACCCUAAAAAGUAUCGACGACGUUAUACUCAAUGCCCUCUAAUUAAUCUUCCCCAAAUAAUUAUUUCUAUGAACUAUUUAUAGAUUUACAAAAUCCAAAAAAAAUUAAUUGAAUCAAAAACAAAUUGGGAAGUCAAAACCAAAAGGAAUUUGUUUCCUAGUUGUAUGCAUGGUUCUACCGGAAAGUUUCACCGCUGCACAAUUGAUGUCGGUGCCUUGAUGGCUGCCACGUGGCACAAUAAUUCAAUCUUAAAUUUGCCAAUUCACAAUGUGCACUUUUGCUGCAUAUAAGUUUUAUAUAUUAAUAUAUUUAAUUUAAUCCAUUCAGUUGCCUGCUUGAUUUCCUUCCAUAAUAUUCCAUAUUUAAUUUCUUUUAGCUCCAAACUCCUUCAACUUUACCCCAAUUUAUUCCUACAAAUGAAAUACACUAUUUAGAACAAUCCAUAAAAUUCAUGCUCAAAAAGCGAAAAUAUAAAUAAUAAAUGUGAGUCAAAUAAUGAUAUGAAAAUAUAUUUUUUGCCUCACAUCAAGGGUCAUCAGUUUCAUGGAUAGAGGUUGCUUUGAGAUAUGCCGAGCUUUUGGUGAGUCCUCAUGUUUUGAGGAAGGACUUUCAUUGUUUAGUUUCUUCUUGUAUUCUUCUUUUGUACAUGAUGUAUGGGAUAGAACAAAUUUAAUUCUACUGUAUUAGAUGGCUAUGAUGGGACAAGGGUAUUAGACUUCCGUUUUGGUUUUAUAAAAUAUUUUGAACUUGGACUAUUGGUUUACUCUUAUUGUUCUAUUUCUUAUGUUAUGAAAGAUAAGUGGCUUGUAUGGAAUCCUUUGGGGUUCUAUACGACAUGUUACAUCUAGGGGGUACUCUUGGGUCAUGACAAACAUGUUUAUCAGAAAACAAUGUUUAGAAUGGUCCUAGGAUGUCUCAUAAGCCACGUCUAGUCGAGUCUUGUUCAUGAGUGUGAAGCGCGCCACAUUUAUGAAUGAGAGGCUACAAAAUGAUUAGAAAAUUCCAUUUCUUUCAUUAAUCUUAAGUCGUGCGAUAGAGUUUAGAUCUAUAAAGUCUCUCUCCUAAUCCUUAUCCUAUGUUCUUCAAUAUAUAGCUUUGCGAAGAGCUUAUACUAGAUAGAAUUUGAGGGAGAAUGCGGAACAAGAAGCUCCUCCGCAAGCUCCUCAAGUUCUGGUCGAUCGUUUGGCCGAGCAAGUGUCGAAAGCAGAGUUUAGGGUUGCUUUUCAAGUGUUGUCUCAUUUCAUAAAGGCCCAAGCCAAUAGGGAGGUAGUGGUUCCCAUGAACCCAAAUGUAUGUACGGCAGCUUCAAGAGUGAGGGACUUCACAGGGAUGAAUCAUCAGGAGUUUCAUGGUUCUAAAGUUGAGAAAGAUCCUCAAGAAUUUAUUGAAGAGGUCUUUAAGGUGUUGAUAAUCGUGGGAGUCAUGUGGUGGAAAAGGCGGAGUUGGCCACUUAUCAACUAAAAGGUAUGGCUCUAAUAUGGUAUAACCAAUGGAAGGAAGGGAGACCGGAAGAUGCAAGUCCUCCUGAUUGGGAGAAGUUUAAGGCCGCUUUCUUUAAUAGGUUCUUUCCCAUUGAGAUGAGGAAAGCCAAGGUGCUUGAGUUCAUUAACCUUCGACAAGGAAGUAUGAGUGUGAGGGAAUAUGCUCUAAAGUUCACUCAAUUGCCCAAUUAUGCUCCAACUAUACUUGUCGAUUCAAGGGCUAAGAUGAGUAAGUUUGUUUCAAAUGUGUCCGAAAUGGUGGUUAAAGAGUGUCGAACCGCCAUGAUCAUUAAUGACAUGGACAUCUCUCGUCUCAUGGUGCACGCACAAAAACCUGAGGAGUAGAAACUCAAGGAAUAGUCUAGAGAGGUAAAAAGGGAUAAGACCAGAGAUGUAAAUUUCUCUAAUUUGAGGUCUGAUGGACAAGGUCGUCCUAGAUUCCGACAAUGCUUUUCCAGUCAAGGUUCCUCCAAUGCUCCUCCUAAGUUCAACCAAGAUAGGGUGUCUAAUGGUAAGCCUCAAGGAAAUAAUUGUAGUGGAUCUUCAUUGCCUUGGUCUAAUUGUACUAUGUGUGGAAUAAAGCACGAGGGUAAAUUCCUAGCCGGCACGGAUGGUUGCUUUGGUUGUGGUAAUAGUGCUCACAAAAUGAGGGAUAGCCCAAUGUUUGCAGCUAAAGGAAGAGAGGGCAAGAAAGCUAGUACUAGUGGUGCAACUUUCAAUGCUACUAAGAAAAACUCUCGAUGCAUUUAGGCCUAGCUAGUAGCAUGUUCUCUUAAUUUUCAUCAAGGGUCAUCACCUCACACUUAAGCUCAAACGUGCUCCUUUGCUUCAAAUUCUUGGGUACUCAGAGUUCCCCUAAUCUCCAAAAUCAACAAAAAAAAUGAUACUAAAAAAAAAAAAUAAGAAGCUAUACCAUAAAUUCGGUUUCCUCCCAAUAAGCACCUAAUUUAACGUCGUGGCACGACACAAGUAAAUUCACUACUUUUCUUUCCACUUUGAACUUGUGAAUUGUACUCCAAACUUUGUAUCUAUUUUUCUGCUCCUCUCAAGGAGAGGUGGUAUAAAGAUAAAGGAACCGAUUAAUAAAUGUCGCAUCUUGCACUUCUGGGUCCUUAGGUGAGGAAUGUUAUUUUCUCUACGUGGACUAAAAAACUUUAGAAUGUAAGGACCUUGUUCCUCAUCUAUACACGCGUACAUCAGUUCAGAUGAUAUAGAAAAGUGUUUUGAAUGAGAUUCAAGUUGCCUCAACUCCAAAGCAACAUUUUUACAACUUUCUCACCUUUGUACUCUUUCUCCACACCUAUAUUAAGGAAUAAGAUAUAUUUGAAUAGGUAGAAUUCCUCUUUUUUAUCCACUAGUUGGUUGUCAUCCACGACAAUUGGUAAUUAGGCUUCAGACACCUGAAUCUUUUUGUUCAAGUCAGCCUCCAAGUCAUGAAUAUAUGAGCGAAAUUGAUCUAUUUCUCAGAUGAGCUAAACUCUUCCUUCAAUUUGUUGGGUUGUCAUGUAUAUCAGACCAUCACAAAUAGACUCUUGAAACUUUUGAAGUUGAGUUUGUUCUUGUAGCCAAGAUUGGCUCAAUAUCGUUGUUUCUCCAUAGCUUUCUCCUUAUUGGUAUUCAAUCUCUUCUAAUUUAGCUUGGACUGUAAUUUCGCUUUGACUAGCAUCAAGAUGAUCCAAAAGUUUCAUGAUUUUUGAGUUCUCUUCUCCUCAUUCAAGUAUUUGUUCUGUGAUUUUUGAAUUAACUUUGUCUAGCAUGUCCGUACAUUCCAUAAGUGAAUUCACAUUGUGCGCCUCUUGUUUUGCCUUCUCCCCUUCAUAGCCCCUGCCAACAUCACAAAUAUUAGAAGAAUAGUAAUAGGGGUUUUGGGAAGGGAAUAAGAUUUAGGAAAACCCUUACAAUGAAUAUAUUGACGACCACAUAUAUGACAUAUAAGACACUCGAUAUCCAAGUGGUGUCUGCUACAAAAAUUACAAGUAUUUAUAUAAGAAUUAUCAUCACCCAACCAGGAUUUAUCCCAAUCAUCCAUUUCAAAAAGAUUGCCAAAUUAUUCAAACAAAAUAACAAUAUUAAUAAUUUGUUUAGGAAAAAAAUACCAAUUUUUUUUUAAAACAUAAAUAAAAAUAAAAGUAUAACCUAACAUAAUAGUUAAUUUCUAUGUCCCCGGCAGCGGCGCCAAAAACUUAUUGCUCCCAAUUGCACACGCAAGUGUACGCGGUCGCGCAAGUAAUAUAGUGGCUCUUAAAAGAAGCAGAUUAUCGAACCCAAAGGGCUUGUCAAUUAUCUAUUUACUAUAUUAUAAUAGUAUAAUUAUUGAUUUAAGAGUGCCAAAAGAAAAGAAUGUAGGAAUUAAAUAAUAAAAUUACUUAUAGUGAUUUGGAAAAAUAUAGGGUUGCAGCAUGCGUUGGACUUCAUGUAUCGUAUCUCAGGCAAUGAACGAAUUUCCGUUAUCAAGUUACUGAUUUACAAGGUUAAUUGUAUGAGUCGGGUCUCUCAACCUCUAGUCGCGUGCUCCAUUUAGGUGACUAACUACAUCGUUGAGCGGGGAUAGCAGGCCUAACUGGCGAGCAUUUAUAUUUAAUCUUGUUUCGUAACCAAGAAAGUUGUUCGUCCAAGAUUCACUCUUGAACAAACAUCAACUCAAUGGAUGAUCAAGCUUACAUUAUUCUUUGGUCUAUCUACCCUCUCCUCUCUCGAUUUUGAGAAUAGACAAUAAAUUUGUCUAUGGUGAUCAAGCAUGAAAUACUAAAAAAAGAAUAUAAAAGUAACUUACAAUCAUAACCAAGAAUUAAUUCAAAAAGACUUUAAUAAUCAACAUUCAAUCCGUAGCAACAACCCCAGAACAAGGGCGUUUAGUGACUAAUCUCUAAGAAAAGAAAGAAGCAGAAAAGAACCCUAAAAAGUAUCGACGACUUUAUACUCAAUGCCCUCUAAUUAAUCUCCCCCAAAUAAUUAUUUAUAUGGACUAUUUAUACAUUUAGAAAGCCCUAAAUAAAAUAAUUGAGUCCAAAACUAAUUGGGAAACCAAAACCAAAAGGAAUUAGUUUCCUAGUUGUAUGCGUGCUUCUGCCAGAAAGUUUCACCGCUGCACAAUUGAUGUCGGUGCCUUGAUGGCUGCCAUGUGGCACAGUAGUUCAAUCUUAAAUUUUCCAAUUUACAAUGUGCACUUUUUCCGCAUAUAAGUUUAUAUAUUAUUAUAUUUAAUUUAAUCCAUUCAAUUGUCCACUUGAUUUCCUUCUAUAAUCUUCCAUAUUUAAUUCGUUUUAGCUCCAAACUUUUUCAAAUUAACCCCAAUUUAUUCCUAUAAAUGAAAUACACUAUUUAGCACAAUUCAUAAAAUCAUGCUCAAAAAGGGCAAAUAUAAAUAAUAAAUGUGAGACAAAUAAUGAUAUGAAAAUAUAUUUUUGUCCUCACAUCAAGGUCACCAGUUUCGUGGCUAGAGGUUGCUUUGAGAUAUUCCAAGCUUUUGGUGAGUCCUCAUGCUUCGAGGACGGACUUUCAUUGUUUAGUCUCUUCUUGUAUUCCUCUUUUGUUCAUAAUGUAUGGGCUAGGCCCAAUUUCAUUCUACAAUAUUAGAUGGCUAUGAUAAAACAAGUGUAUUAGACUUCCGCUUUGCUUUUAUAAAUGUUUUGGACUUGCACUAUUGUUUUACUCUUAUUGUUCUAUUUUUUAUGUUAUAACAGCUAAGUGGCUUGUAUAGAGCCCUUCGGUGUUCUAUACGUCAUAUUACAUCGAGGGGGUACCCCUGGGUAGUCACAAAUUUAGUCAGAGCACAAGGUUUAGAAUUGUCCUAGGAUGUGUCAUAAGCCACAUCUAGUUGAGUCUUGUUCAUGAGUGCGAAGUGUGCCACAUUUAUGAAGAGAGGCUACAAGAUGAUUAGAAAACUCCACUUCUUUCAUUACUCUUAAGUUGUGUGAUAGAAUUUAAAUCUAUAAAGUCUCCCUCCUAAUCCUUAUCCUAUGUUCUUCAGGAUGUGGCUUCGCGAACAGUUUAUACUAGACAGAAUAUGAGGGAGAAUGUAGAACAAGAAGCUCUUCCCCAAGCUCCUAAAGUUUAGGUCGAUCCUUUGGCCGAGCAAGUGUCGAAUGCAAAGUUUAGGGUUGUUUUUCAAGUGUUGGCUUAUUUCAUAACGGCCCAAGCCAAUAGAGAGGUAGUGGUUUCCAUGAACCCAAAUGUAUGUACGGCGGCUUCAAGAGUGAAGGACUUCACAGGGAUGAAUCAUCCGGAGUUUCAUUGUUCUAAAUUAGAGAAAGAUUGUCUAAAAUUUAUUGAUGAGGUCUAUAUGGUGUUUAUGAUCAUGGGAGUCACGCGGUAGAAAAGGCCGAGUUGUCCAUUUAUCAACUAAAAGGUGUGGCUCAAAUAUGGUAUAACCAAUAGAGUGAAGGGAGACCGAAAGAUGCAGGUGCUCUUGAUUGGGAGAUGUUUAAGGCCACUUUUCUUAAUAGGUUCUUUCCCAUUGAGAUGAGGGAAGCCAAGGUUCUUGAGUUCAUUAACCUUCGACAAGGAAGUAUGAGUGUGAGGGAAUAUGCUAUAAAGUUCACUCAAUUGCUCAAUUAUGCUCUAACUAUGGUUGUCAAUUCAAGGGCUAAGAUGAGUAAGUUUGUUUCGGAUGUGUUCAAAAUGGUGGUUAAAGAGUACCGAUCCUCCAUGCUCAUUAAUGACAUGGACAUCUCUCAUCUCAUGCUGCAUGCACAAAAAAUUGAGGAGGAGAAACUCAAGGAAAAGUCUAGAGAGGUAAAAAGGGCUAAGAUCGUACAUGGAAAUUUCUCUAACUUGAGGUCUCAUAAACAAGGUCGUCUUAGAUUCUGACAAAGGUUUUCCAGUCAAGGUUCCUCCAAUGCUUCUCCUAAGUUCAACCAAGAUAGAGGGUCUAACCCUAAGCCACAAGGAAAUAAUGGUAGUAGAUCUUCAUUGCCUUUGUCUAAUUGUACUAUGUGUGGAAAGAAGCACGAGGGUAAAUGCCUAGCCGACAUGGAUGGAUUAUUUGGUUGUGGUAAGAGUGCUCACAAAAUGAGGGAUAGCCCAAUGCUUGCGGCUAAAGGAAGAGAGGGCAAGCAUGCUAGUACUAGUGGUGCGGGUUCUGAUGCUCCUAAGCAAAACUCCCUGUGGCCUUUAGGCCUAGCUAGUAGCAUGUUCUCUUAGUUUUCAUCAAGUGUCGUCAUCCCACACUUAAGCUAGUAGCAUGUUCUAUAGAUUGGACUGCCUCCCAAUAAGCUCCUAAUUUAACAUCGUGACACGACACAAGAAAAUUCACUAUUUUUCUUCCACUUUGAACUUAUGAAUUGUACCUCUAACUUUGCAUAUAUUUUUCUGCUCCUCUCAAGGGGAGGUGGUAUAACGAUAAAGGAACCACGUAAUAUAUGUCGCAUCUUGCACUGCUUGGCCCUUAGGUGAGGAAUGUUGUUUUCUCUACGUGGACUAAAAAACUUUAGAAUGUAAGGACCUUGUUCCUCAUCUAUACACUCGUCCAUUAGUUCAGAUGAUAUAGAAAAGUGUUUUGAAUAAGAUUCAAGUUGCCUUAACUCCAAAGUGACAUUUUUAUAACUCUCUCACUUUUGUACUCUUUCUCAACAUCUAUAUUAAGGAAUACGGUAUAUUUGAAUGUGUGGAAUACCUCUUUUUUCUCCACUAGUUGGUCGUCAUCCACGACAAUUGGUUAUUGGGCUUCAAACGCCUUGGUCUUUUUGUUCAAGUCAGCCUCCAAGUCAUGAAUAUAUGAGCCAAACUGAUCUGUUUCUUGUGUUAGCUAAACUCUUAUUUCAAUUAGUUGGGUUGUCAUGUAUAUCAGUCCAUCAUGGAUAGACUCUUGAAACUUUAGAAGUUGACUUUGUUCUUGUAGCCAAGAUUUACUCACUAUCUUUGUUUCUCUGUAGCUUUCUCCUUGUUGGGAUUCAAUCUGUUCUAAUUUAGCUUGGAAUAUAAUUUCUCAUUGAAUAGCAUCAAGCUCAUCUAGUAGUUUAAUGAUUUUUUAUUGUUGUUCCCCGCAUUCAAAUAUUUGUUCUGUGAUAUUUGUAUUAACUUUGUACAUCAUGUCCAUCCAUUCCAUAAGUGAAUUCACAUUGUGCGCUGAUUAAUAACAUUUCAAAGACGCUUCAUCCAAUACUAAGCGUCAACGGUCGUUAGUUAGUAAUAUAACCCAACUAAAUGAGUUGGGGUCGAAUCCCACAGGGAGUGGUUCGUGUUUGAAAAUCAAGAGAAAAGUACGAAUAUGUUCAAGUCAACCAUAGGGGUAGAUAUUUACGAAUAAAAACAUAAUUCAAAUUAGGCAUUGACACGAGUUUCAAGAAAAAGGGGUUUUGGUUGUAAUUAUCAGCUACAACAACAGGAAAUAACACAAAUUAACAAGUCAUGAGACGGGUUCUUGGGAUGUGAUUGGAUUAUAGUCUAAGGUAGACAAAUGGGUGAUUGCAACUAAUAGUAAAUCGUUGUAAAUCAAUGAAUAAGCUAGACUUUAGUGGGGAUAAACAUUAUCUCAAACAAUUUACCCCGAAUCAAGUUGGUUUCUCUCGAACACCAACAAGCAGCAAUUAAGAACAACCUACGCUUUAGUCCAUUCACUCUCUCGAGCUGAAUGUGUGGACAAGGGUUUAGGAUUCACUCUAUCGAGCUGAACCCAUGACAACCCAAUACCCACAAACCAUCAAUUUAAUAAUCUUGGUUUUAAAACCUCUCUCGAGCAAGCCAAAAAUACGAAGGUAGAGUUGCAUUUGCAACUACAAUCCUUUAAAUUAAACAACAAUUAGUGAUGCAAAUCACUUUUAAACAGCAUUUAAACUAUCAAUUAACAAUACCCAUAACCUAAAUCAACUCAUAAUCACAUAAUCACACCCCAAGAAUUGGGGUUUUAGCUAGACAUCAUAAAAAGAUAGAAAUCGUUACCAAAUUGUGUUUCUAUCAACUGGGUAAGAUUAAUUUCAUCUUUACAAAGGUCCAAAUUGAAGAAUCUCAAAAACCCACUUCUAAUUUCUCAUAAAUAAAAAACUUCAAUUCUUCAAAGCUAAGGAAAAGUUUGUCUCCAACCUCAGAGUUUUAACUCAAAAAAUUAUAUAUUAUGAAAACUGAUACUAAACUAAGAAUUCAAAUAUGUAUUUAUAGUUGCCAAAAAUAUGCUGUGAAUGGCCAUUCGGCGCAGUAAGUCGGGAUCAUCGAUCAACUCGGCGAUCCGCCCGUUGGUCAAUUCCAUCGCCUAUUUGCUUUGGCCUUCAACAUCCUCAAUCCAACACUACAUCGCGGAACCGUUUGGCGACUCACCAAAAGGUCCUUUCCCUCGCUAACUUGAUUUUCUCCUUCAGGGCUUGGCAUACUGGAACUUUAGGUGAGGUAAUAGCCACUCGGCGACUCACCAAAUGGAUUAGGUGAUCAAAAUGCCUUCUUUUCUUCGUUCUUUCAGCUGCCUUGUUCCUUUUUUCCCAUUAGUGUCCAUGCUCUGUUCCUCAAUACAAAUACCUGGAAAACAAGGAUUUUACAUCAGUUAUUGGCACAAAAUAAGCAUUUGAGGACACUAAAUCUAUCCAAAUAAAGCCCUAAAUGAGUCCAAAUCGUUGACUCAUCAACACCCCCAACUUAAAGUUUUGAUUGUCCUGAAGCAAAACUCAAGUGCAACAGUUGAAAAAGGAUGUCUCAAACAGUGCUACACAAGACUCAAUCAUGAAUGCACAGAAAAAGACAACUUACUCAUGCAAGGAUCAAUUGUACACUCAAAGAUUCAAGUUGUGACUCACCAUUAUCAAAGAUUCUGAAGUUCACAAUACUUGCUUCAAAUGCAAGUUCAAGCUCAACAAAGGUACUCAAAUGCCCUCACACAAAGAAUGAUUCCAUAUUCACACACAAUGGUUCAACAACUUAUAGCUCCGGAAUCACAAUCAACACUUACACUCAAAAAGAUAAAUACAAUGCAUGAUUUCACCUAUAGGUUUGCCCUUAUUUUCCAAUCAACCAUUGUUUCAGCUCACUCAAGAUCAAAAAGGUCUUUUCAAGGCUUGUAACGGGAUUGAGUGCAAAGGUAUGGCCAUUUAGGCUCAAUGAUUGUAAUCCUCAUGAAAUGUGGUGUGAACAACAUUUUCUUCCCUUUUCUUUCUCAUUCUCAUUCAUUCUCAAAACUCACCCCAUUGUUCACCUUCCAUGGAAUAUUGGACACCUCAUUUUCUUUUGCAACUUUAUAUAACAACUUUUUCAUUCUUUUUCGUUUUCUCUUUUUUUUUGUAUUUAGGGGUUCCAUCUUUUUCAAAACCAUGCGUCAAAAGGGACUUCUUUGCAUUUCUUGAUUUACCUUCUCUUUUCACCACACCCUCAACUUAGGCUUUUGGUCUAAGUUGGCUAUUCAAGCAAACCACAAAUCAUGAGGAUUAUGGUAAAUUUGAUAAAGAAAGGUCACAAUUUCAUCAAAUUUCUUCCAAAGAAAGGGUUAAGGCUCAAAGGGUGUUCAAGCAAGGAUCACACACUCACAAGGUUGUCCACAAAAGAGGUAUAAUGUCAAAUUGUUUCACACUCUUCAAAGUUGCCUAAGAUCAUCUCAAGAGCUUACAUCACUUAGUCAAUUGGAUCAACGGGGCAAAUUUUAGGUGUCAUCACACAUGGUUCAUGGUAAGCUCAUCACACAAGGCAUUGACACCAAUGUCAAACAAGACUCCACACUUACGCUAGUGUGCAAUGUUCAUUACAAGAGACUCAAAUUUAUAAUUGUCUAGUCACAACGAGAUGCAAAAAGUUCACAUAUUGUCUAUGCUACUUCAUUUGGCCUCAUCCUAGCCAUACAUUCAUUUUUGUUCGAUUAUAAGCAUUAUUCAAGUCAUUGGUAUUGAUCAAGACCGAUACUCAAAUUUGCAAGAGAACAACCACAUUCAAACACAAACAAGAGGUGGCACAAACUUUUUUGGAAGGGUCCAAAAAUUAUUUACAGUUUAAAACAAGGAGCCACAAGCUCAAUCACCCACAAAAUAUAGUAUCAACACAGUUUAUACCUCAAAAACCCAAAUAUAUAGACAGAACAAUAUUCACAAAAGAUGGGCCUCACCACAUCACAAAACAAAAGUUAUUUGUCCUCAAAUGCAGGUAAUAAAGUAUCCAAAAGUCAAUAAAAAUAAGACAGAGAGGGAGGUAAAAAAAAGAAUCAUGUCUACACAGUUGCAAAGCAAUUUUAAAAAUGCAGUAUAAAACAGACAACCCAAAUGUACACAGAAAACACAAAUAACCAUAAUCAAGCAAACAAGGUGGGCCUCACCCCACCACAAAUAAAAGCGUUUGUCCUCAAAUGUAACUAAAAGUAUCCAAAAGUAAAUUCACAGUAAAACAAGGAGAGAGAUAAAGAAAAAUCUUGUCUAUGCAGCCUCUCCCCCUGUUGGGGCAUAAGAACUCUGAGCUGCAGUCUGUAAUUGGGCAUCAGUGCCCGGAGUAGUCUCAGCAUGAGUAGCAGUGCCAGGUUCUGUUGGGGCAGCUGUGGACAUCUCAGCAGGUGAUGUCUGGGUCGUCGACUGCACAAUUAUCCCUACCAGAUCUGGCAGAUUUCCAAAGAUGCUCUUCUCCUCCUGGUGAUCUCUCGUCUCCCUCUCUUGUGUUGUCACUAACUACUUGUCAGUCUCUGUAUCUCCAGGUGCAUCCCGAUCCUCAGCGGUUCUCAUCAAGUCAUUGAAGUCAACAGACUUGAUAUAGUCUACGUCCCACCGCAGAUCCGCAACAUCGGCUUGCAAAGUCCGUUCCUCAGAUGACCUCUCUGUCUCCGCUCACAAGCUUUAACCCUUAAAGUCAAAGCAUCGAUAGAGGUCUGGAUGGGGGCAUGUGGUGCAGCUAUAGCUCUCUUGAUCAUCCCUGGGACUUACUUCUCCAGUCUGGAUGCCCGUGCCUUGGCUGAUUGGGUCAAACGCCCCAUCUUUAGGAUCAUACCUUGAGUGAAUCUGAUCGGCUGGUCGGCCGAAGAAGCACCUGGGUCCUGUGAAGAGGAGGAAGGUCAGAUCCCUCUUCUCAAUAAGAGCGCCAACCCCAAUCCAUCUGUCGGUUUCCUCAGAAAUCAUAGGAGCCAACCACCCCUUCAGAUAGUCUAAUGAUGCAGCAGGGGCAAUCCCUCAUAGGGAUGUACAGAGUGCAGUGGCCUUCCCAUCACAACAUUGAUAUGCUCACUGUGGAACUCUACUUCCAUGCCCCUAACUGUAACUAACCUCACUGGUCUGAACUCACUCGACCGCUUCUUAUUCUUAGGCACCAGUACUCCAUAGGUUGUGUAGAACACCCUGACCCAAGAGGGAAUGUAUGGGCCUCAGGGUAUAGUGAACUGCUCAAACUCGUGGAAGAGAAGUGUAGCCAUAACAUUAGGAUAUCUUUCCAACCCCUCCACCGAUAAUAGCUUUUCUUCUAUGAUUGUUUGGACCCCAUCACCCUUCAAUCUAUUCAUCAUCCGAGGUUGAGGUACGAUGAUAGGUGUGGGGGGGACUGGGGUGCAUGUUCUAGCUCUGGGGCUAGUUCAGGAGUGGCUGCAACUUGUGUGUCCCUGGUAGGAGUGGCAGUAUCUGCUGAGACCCUAUUGGCUGAGGGUUGAGGCAUGUUUAUGAGCCUGUUCUUUCUUUGGAUCAGUGACUGAUCAUCUACAGGCUCGGACUGCUCAAAUUGGGCGUCGAUAGCUACUUUUUUCUUAGCUACAUGUUUCAUUCGUUUGCCUAUUUCUUGCGGGAGUUCAUCUCAUCUUCUCUUUGGAGGGUUUGAUCCUCCUUCGUUUAUACAUAUGCCCUGUGUUGCCUAUUUUUGCCGAAAGUUACAGAGCUUACAACACUAAUGACAUGAGUUAAGGGAGGUCUAUAAACAGUAGGCGAACCGCCGAAUCUUUCGGCAAGCUCGACCCAGCUCGCUAAAUGACACAAUGUGCCCAUUUUUUAACCCAACUCUCGAAACCGACCUUAUGAUCUUCAAAAGAAAAAUCAAAGCAUGCAAACACGAAAUUGACCUAAGACCCAUAUUUCCCAUCACCUCAGAAUACUCAGACUUCUGCUGGUUUUACCAAAUUUUGCCAUUUAACUAUGAUUACCCUUAAGAAUGUUGUCACCCAUUCCUUCAUAGAGCAAUUUUUGUUAUUUAGCGCAAAUGUGGGCUACCUAUACUUCACCCAAUCAACCUAACAACUAAUAUGCCACACCCAUUUCACGUUCAUUCAGAUCAAAGCACAAACACUAAGGCAUUCGACUAUUAAAGCAAUUAUAGGCAAAAUUGUCGAAUUAACAAUAGCAUCACACCAACCUAUUUCUAUCAGAGAGGCCCAACACACAUCAUCUUGAUACUAUACUAGAAAAUGAGAGAAAAAUUAGCAAAAAUAAAUUCGGGGUUUCAGAGACUAACCUUCGAUGCCAAUCAAAUAGUCUUUUGUAACACUAGGCAGCAAAGAAAUCCAACCCCAAGCACUAAUGACCAACUAAAAUACUAACUUACAAUAAAAAUCUAAGAAAAAUACCUUUGGUGUGAGUUUGGAGAGUUUGAAAUGAGGGAAAGUGAGAGAUUCAAAAAUUUGACCUUUAGCAUUUAUAUAACCGUUUAGUUCUUGUCCAUUCGGCGAUGUUAGUCGCACUCGCCGAACUACUCCACGAUGUACCGAGCGGUCUUUUAUCCCGCUUUUUCUACAAAAUCAUACAUAUUCUGGGAGGUGAGAUGGGUGGUCUGUAUCGAGAUCGUCGAACUGGUUGGCGAUGCGUCGAGCUGCUUUUCGAGUUCAUCGAGCUUUACAGGCUCUACAAUGCUCUUGCAUUUAGCCAAACGGCGGAAUUCAGUAGGGCUCGCCGACCUGUUUAGCGACACGCUGAAUGGACUUUCUACUCGCCAACCUCGAAUUUUCCACACCUUCCUCAUUUCAACCUGCAGCAUUAACACACCAUUAUUUAUAAAAUUAAAAUCCUAACAUUUAAACCCUUGGGUUGCCUCCAAAGAAGAGCCUUAUUUAACGUCGUGGCUCGACAUAGGUCCUGCCUCACUCUCUGUUAUUUGAGAUAGACCUAGUGUCACAAGGUAGCCCCAAUAUGUCAUUUGGAUGGAGCUGAGGCAUUGCAAACGUGAUCUGAUGUGCUGGAUUGAUCUAGAAUGAAAUCCAAUCAAUUGAUUCAACGCUUCAACAUUCUCUCUCAUUUCGUCCAACACUCUAUCUUGAUCAGUGAUCUUUUGGAGAAUGAUUUGAAGUGUGUCCUUAACACAACUUUUCUCAUCUUCUGUAGGCUUGUUCCGUGCAUGAGGAGGUAUGUACCUCCCUUGGCGUUUGCAUUGGUUUUCCACCUCAAAUAUUUUGGUGGUCAAGUCAUGUAGUUGAGAUACCAGCGCAGUUAGCUUGAAGUCACCCUCGACUUCUUGAUUUGCCUAAACUGACUUGCCACCCACUCCCUCUAUCAUUCUUAGAGGACCUGCAUACACAAACAAUUCAAAAGAAAAACAAAGAGCUCUGGUUAACUACAUCUUCACGUGACACUACUCCCCAGCAGCGGCAGCAUUUUGAUGCUUAUCUUGACCAACGACACUAACUACGGUUCGAGUGUCUACGAUCAUCGAUAAUAUAGUAACCCAACCAAGGGUUGGGGUUGUGUCCCAAGAGAGUGGUAGUGAAAAUAGUAGACAAGUAGAAUUUUAUUCUAAUUAGUUGUAGUCAAAGAAAUUUACGAAUAAAAACGAAGUAAAUCAAUGGAUUACACAAAAGUGUCAAUUAAUGAUGGAGUUUUUUCACAAGUAUAGUAAAAAUAACGAAAAUGACAAGAAAAUCAAGUAUCGGGAGAAAUUCUUGGGGUGUGACCGCAAUACAAGUUAAUAUAAAUCGUUGGGUACAUGCUUACGAUAGGAAAUUUGCAAGAUAAUAGUGACUAGGCUAAGCUUUAGAUGGAAAUAAGUUCUAUCUCGAGCAACUUACCCCGUUUCAAAUGGGUUCCUCUCGGACACCCAUUUGCCGCAUGAAGGCCAGCCUACGCCUUACCCCACUCACUCUCUCGAGAUGAGUGUUAUGAUAAGGAACUAGGGCUCACCCUCUCGGGCUAAACCUCAUGUCGACCCACUCUUUAGGCCAUUAGUCUAGCGGUCUUGGUUUCACGACCUCUCUUUCGAGCAAGCCGAAAACAUGGGUGGUUUUGUAUUUUGCAACUACAAACCCAUUAAAUUAAACCACAAAAACUAGGUGAAAUCACCAUUAAAAUACAUCUAACCUAUCAGCAAGCAAACCCCAACGAUAAUCUUAACUCAUAUUAGCUAAAUCACACACCAAGAAUGGGGUUUUUAGCCACACAUCAAGAAAGAAGCAAUUAUACCUAAAAUGAUAACGAAAUCAACUGGGUCUAAGAAAUUAAACCUUGAUUUAAGGAAAGGAAGGAUAGAGAAGACCCACUUCCAAUUUGGGAAGAUGAACUCCUUUCUUCAAGUCUUCCAAUAAUGCUCUCCAAACUUGAGAGAAAAAAUGUAAAAGCUAAGUUUAACGUCUAAAAAUUAUAAUUAUGUUCGGAUUCCUUUAAAACUAAUAGAGAGCUAGUAUUUAUAGUUUUAUAAAAUAGUGUUGCGGUGGAUCGUUCGGCGAGGUAAGUGGGAAUCGGUGAUCGACUCGGCGAUUCACCCAUCAUCUGGUUCAUCGCCUUCUGUGCUUGCCUACAACAUCUUUGCGUCCUACACCAUUGGGUGGUAUAGCACUGCUUCGCGGAACUGAUCGGCGACGCUCCGACUGCUCCUUUCGUCGCCUUUUUUAUCCACUUCUUUCAGGGCUUCGCGUACUGGAACAAAGGGCUAAGUACAUUUCUUCGGUGAUUCACCUAGUGUGCUUGGCGAUGCUCAGGCUUUAGUUUCUUCGUUCUGUUCAGCCUUUCUGUUCUAUUUUGUGCCUAAGUCCAUGCUUCCACUAAAACUUUAAAUACCUGAAACUUAAGAGUUUUCAUUAGAUAUUGAGAUAAAAUAAGCAUUUAAGGACACUGCUUCUAUUAAAAUAAAGCCCUAAAUGAGUCCAAUUAGUGGACUCAUUAGGAUCCUCAUGAGACAAACCACCGAAUAGCCCAUUCAAUUUCUAGAGCUGCAACAUAGUACUUUUAAUAUGGACCACAACGUUCCCUUCUUGAGGAGGAAAGGGAAUGGCACCAAAUCCACCCAGUAGAUGGGGGUCAUUAGUAUUUGGCUUCAUUAGAUAUUGAGAUAAAAUAAGCAUUUAAGGACACUGCUUCUAUUAAAAUAAAGCCCUAAAUGAGUCCAAUUAGUGGACUCAUUAGGAUCCUCAUGAGACAAACCACCGAAUAGCCCAUUCAAUUUCUAGAGCUGCAACAUAGUACUUUUAAUAUGGACCACAACGUUCCCUUCUUGAGGAGGAAAGGGAAUGGCACCAAAUCCACCCAGUAGAUGGGGGUCAUUAGUAUUUGGCUUGUUGACAUCGUUGAGGUUUCCGAUGUCAUCUUGGUGGCCUACUUGGCUACCAUUUCUUCCGUUCACACUCAUACUUCUUGUUUCAAAACACAAACAAGCAAAACAAAACUAAAAUUAAGUAAGUUCAACUAUGACUAACAAGAACAAAAUUCAACUUAACUAAAAAUUCUAAACCAACACCACUCUCCGGCAGCGGCGCCAUUUUGAUUAAUAAUGUUUCAAAGACACUUCAUCCAAUACUAAACGUCAACGAUCACACUCACAAAGAAGAACACUAUGCAUAUUUUCACCCAUAGGUUUGCCCGUAUUUUCCAAUUGACAAUUGCUUCAGCUCACUCAAGAUUAAAAAGGUCUUUUCAAGGCUUUUAAUGGGGCUGAGUGCAAAGGUAUGGUCAUUUGGUUAGUGAAUUUUGUCCUCAUAAAAUGUGGUGCUUACAACACUUCAUUUCCCCUUCUUUCAACAUUUUCUUUAGUGCUCUUAAGUCAUCCCAUUAUUCACUUUCCAUGGAUUGUUUGGAAACCCCAUUUCUUUUUUACUUUAUUCCACGACUUUUUCUUUUUCAUUUUUUUCUUCUCUUUUCUCUUCUUUUUUUGUAUGAAAGGGUUCCAUUUUUCUCAACACAAUGGGUUAAAGGACACUUUCCUUCCACUUCUUGACUCGCCCUUUUCUUUUCACCACACCCCCAACUUAGGCUUUUGGCCUAAGUUGGCUAUUCAAUCAACCACAAAUUAAGAGAAUUAUAGGUAGUUGAUUAAGAGAGGUCAUGUUUUCAUCAAGUUUCUUCCAAAGAAAGGUAAGACUCAAGGGGUGUUCAAAAGAGAUUCACACACGCUCACAAGGUAGGCCGCAAAAGUGGUAUAUGUCAAAUUGGCUCACACUCUUCGAAGUUACCUAAGAUCAUGUUAGGAGAUUACCUUACUUAGUCGAUUAGACUAACGGGGUAAAUUCUAGGUGUUAUUAUGCAUGGUUCAUAGUAAGCUUAUCAGACAAGGCAUCGACACCAAAGUCAAACAAGAGUUCACACUUUCGCUAGUGUGCAACGCUCAUCACAAGAGACUCAAUUCGAUAAUUGGCUAGCCACACUGAGAUGCAAAUCGUUCACAUAUUGUCUAUGCAACUUCAAUUUACCUCGUUGUAGCCGCACACUCAUUUAUGUUCGAUUAUGAGCACUAUUCAAGUCAUCGGUAUUGAUCAAAACCGAUACUCAAAUUUGCAAGAGAAUAACCACAUUCAAAACAUACAAGAGGUGGCAAUUUUUUUCCUGAAGGGUCCAAAAUCAUUUACAACUAAAAUCAAGGAGCCACAAGCUCAAACUUUCCACAAAAAGCAGUGCAUAUCAUGAAUUUAGCUCAAAGCCCAAUAUAGAUAAACAAAAUUAGAGUCACGAACAGCACACAAAUGUGGGCCUAACCCCACCACAAAUACAAACCAUUUGUCCUCAAAUGCAAAUAAAAAUUAUCCAACAUAAAAAACAAGUAAGACAUGGAGGGAGGAAAAGAGAAGAUCAUGUCUACAAGGUCUCUUCCUCUGUUUGGGAAUCGGUGCUCGGAUUAGUGCUUGAGAUCUGGGCAUCCGUACUGAGAGCUAUCUCAAAAUCAUCAACAGUGCCAAACCCACUAAGAGUGGUCACAUUCGAAUCUGCCCAAAAGGCUUGCACAACUGCAUAGAACACCCGGGACCAUGAAGGGACAUUAGGGUUUCAUGGAAUAGUUGUAAUGAGCUUCCGACAAGAAGAUGCAUAGACUCCCCGGGCUUCCUUGCCCUUUUCUUUAUUCGCCUUCCCACCAGAUGUGGGACGUUUGGUAGCUUUGCCUUUGGAUGCAGCUACCUCUACAUUAGUGAUAAUUCUCGUUCCCUUCGUUCGGGGUGGCCUGUUUCCACCUGCAACCUUAGGUUUGGCCAUGUCUACAAAACUUUUAUACCGAAUAAUAUGAAAUUGAGAUGCUAGGCGGUAAACUAAUCCAACUCUGAGCACAAAUCAACACUAAGAAAACCGUAGAAAUGUGAAAUUAUAAGAACUAGCAUGGGGUGUGGGAAGAUAAAAAGUGAGGGAAAGUGAAUCAGUUCGAAACUUUUAAACAUUUGUCCUGCAAAACCGUCCAGUUCUCGUCCAUUCGGUGACAUUAGUCGAGCUUGCCUAUCCACUCGGUGAUACGCCGAGUGUUCAUUUACCUCGCCAAAUUUUACAGUACCUUCAGUUAGUGUGGGGGUCCCAACGGUGGUCUCCAUCGAGAUCGCCGACAAGGUCGGUGACUCGCCAAUAAUUUCCUGGGCUCGCCGAGUUUUAUAGACUCCAAUUUGAAGAUGUCUUGAGUCAAACAACAGAUUAGGUCGGGAUCACCGACCUCUUCGGCGACUUGCCGAUUGGACCUGUUGCUCGCCACCCUGCACUUUUCGAACACUUUACACACUUCAACCUGUACAAACAACGCACUAUUAUUUUACCAAAACACAAAUAAAAGUAAUAAGGGGUUUUGGGUUGCCUCCCAAAUAGCGCCUUAGUUAACGUCGUGGCACUACACAAGUCCACCUUCAAACCACAUUCUUGGGGUUAGCCAUAGUAUCACUAGGCAAACCCUCUCUUCUGUCUCGGAUUGAGAUGAGAUGAUAUAUGACCCAUUUGGGUCUCCAACAGCUUGAUCGACACUGAGUGGGAUGUAAUGGUCUGGCAAAGGGUAAACACAUCUUCCUUCAUUUAUUUUAAAUUCUUGUCUGACCCUUCAACUUUGUUGAGGACAUGAGAGAGUAUAUCCUCAGACCUACCACCUUCCGAAUCCUUAGGAUUUUGACGCUCAUAGGGAGGCACAUACAUGUCCUUCUCCCCAUCCUUCAAGUUAGGGUUUCGCUCCAUCUAGUCUUUGUCGCGAUCCUUCCAACCAUCCUCUCUAGCCCAACCUUGGUUACCACCCUGCCUAGGGUAGUUUGAACGAUAACGACUACCUUGAUUGGCUAGAAAAUUUACCUACUCAUUAUACAAUGCUUCAAACUUUGUCUCUACAGGAUUUGCACACCCGGCCCCUAUGGCAUUGACACCACGAGCACUAGCCCCCAUGACAUUUUUAAAUAAAAUGUCAAGUUGCAUCAUGAUCUUGGCCAUGUUUGGGUCUCUCUCAUGGUCUUUCUCCAUCUUCUCCUUAGUUAGCUCUAAUGUAAGAGGGGAGACAUGGUCAUCACGGGCGUUCCACGUCCUGUUUAUGGUAGUCAUGCCAUCUAAUAGUUGAGCAGCUAUCACCUAAGGUUGCUGGAUCAAAUCUCCCGGAGAGAGUUGAUCCGCAACACCCUUAUUUACCGAAUCCAGACUCCGAUAAAAACACUGCAGCAACACGUUAUCAGGCAAGCCAUGGGUUGGGCAGUGAAGCACCAACUUUUUGAACUGCAGCCAAGUUUCGUGUAUAGGCUCCCCUUCUACACCCUUAAAGCUCUGAAUGCUAUCCCGAAGAGUCAUCAUCUUUGAAGGAGGGAAAUAUUACACUUGAAACGCGGUUACCAACUCCUCCCACGAAGUGAUGGAUUCACGUGGAAACUCAGUCAGCCAUUUGCAUGCCUCUCCCAUCAACUUGAACGGGAAUAACCUCAACCGAACGGAUUCUUGGGAGAUGUUCUUGAAAGAGAACGGUCCGCACACAUCCACGAAGUUUCUAAGAUGCUUAUGAGGGUCCUCAUGAGCCAAACCACAGAAAAUCCCCUUUAGUUGCAAGAGUUGCAACAUGGUACUCGUGAUGUGAAAUAAUGCAUUCCCUUCUGCCGAAGGCAAGCGAAUGGCACCAAUACCGCCCAUGAGAUGGGGGUCAUUAGCAUGAGGCUCAUGGACAUCAUUGAGGUUUCCGAUGUCGUCUUGAUGGCCUACUUGGCUGCCAUUGCUGUUGUUUACGCUCAUACUUCUUGUUUCCAGCACAAUCAACCAAAACAAAACUAAAAAUUAAGUAAGGAGAACUAUAACUAAGAAGAACAAAAAUUUUACUAGACUAAAAAUUCUCAACUAACACCACUUCCCAACAGCGGCGCCAUUUUGAUGUUUGACGUAAUCAAUGACACGACUUCCAAUUUAGGUGUCAACGAUCGCGUGCAGUAAUAUAAUCCAACCGAAUGUGUUGGGAUCGCGUCCCAAGGGAGUGGUUGCAAGAAUUAAUAGAAAAGUAAAUCAAGUUCAAAUCAAUCAUAGCUAUAAAUAUUUACGAAUAAAAACAUACUAAAUCUAAAAGUGACAUGAAUUUCAAUUAUCAAAUGGGGGUUUGUAUUUAACUAAGAAACAAAAAAAAUAGUAAAAAUAAAGAUGUACGAGAUAGGGAGAUGGAAUUCUUGGGAUGUGAUAGGAAUAUGGGAUAAAAUAUACUAUUGGGUAAAUGCUCUUGAUAGUAAAUCACUGAAUAUUGUAACUAGGCUAGACUUUAGUGGAGGUAAAUUCUCUCCUGAGUACCUUACCCCGAAUUAACUCUGUUUCUCUCGAACAUCGAGUUGCACCAUUUAAGCACACCCUCCACCUUAGCGCAUUCACUAUCUCGAGCUGAAUGUGUUGGAGAAGUUCUGGGAUUCAUUCUGUCAGCUGAAUCCAAGACGACCCAAUAACCACCGGCUAUCGAUUUAGUUGUCUUAGUUUUAAAACCUCUCUCUCGAGAAAGCCAAAAACACUAAGAUGAAAUCGUAUUUGCAACUACAAUCCCAAUAAGUUCAAACACAACUAGUAAAUGAAAUCACACUUAAACAGCAAAUAAACUAUCAAUAAGCAAUGCCCAACAUGAAAUUUAACCCAUAUUCACAAAAUCACACCCUAAGAAUUGGGGUUUUAGCUAGACAUGAAAAAGAGAUAGAAAUCAAUACCAACAAGUGUUUCCAUCAAGUGGGUAUUAUAGAAAAUGUCUUUAAACACGUCUAGGAUGAAGAUUCUUGGAUACUCACUUCCAAUUUCUUGGAGUUGAAAACCUUCAAAACCUUCAAGCUCAAGAAAACUGUCUCCCAAAAAUUCUAAAAACUGAAAAUAAUCUAAGUCUCAGUAAUAAUUCUAUAGAACUUGAUAAAAUUCUCGAGACGAAGCUACAAAAUUAAAUGGGUAUUUAUAGUUUUUGAAAUUUUUUGCUGCGAAGGAUCAAUCGGCGCAGUUAGUCGGUAUCGCUGAUGCACUCGGCGAUCCAUUCUUUGGUUUGGUUCAUCGCCUUUUAGCUUUUGCCUUAAACAUCUUCGCAUUUUGGAUCAUUGGGUGAUAUAGUACUGCUUCACGGAUUUGUUCGGCGACGCGUCGACUGUUCCCUUUCAUCGCCAACUUGAUCUUUUCCUUUAGGGCUCAGCACACUGGAACUUUAGGCCAGAUUAAGGCCAUUCAAUGACUCGCCUAAUGCAUUAGGCGAUCCUCAGGCCUUCUUUUCUUCGUCUUUUCAGCCAUCUUGUUCCUUUUUGCCAAGUAAUGUCUAUGCUUUGCCUCAAACUCCAAAUACCUGAAACUUAAUGACUUACAUCGGUUAUUGAGGCAAAAUAUGCAUUUGAGAACAUUAAAUCUAUCAAAAUAAACCCCUGAAUGAGUCCAAAUUGUUGACACAUCAACGGUCCUGAUUGAGAGCAAAAAGAGUAUACAUUUGAGACGAACGUAGAGUAACUAGUCUUGCACAUUUAUUGCCUCUUUGUAUAACACUAAAAAGAACUUGUUAUAGUAUAACUUCUACUAACCAAGUAAGAAUCUUAACUUUGUUUCUAGCAUAUACUUAUAGUAUUUAUAACCAAAGAAGACACAACAACCAAGGCAUUUGAGACAUAGGGAAACAAAGCAUGAAAAAGAUGAAGAAAUCAAACCGUAUUAAUACAUUUUAAUAUCAAAUGACUAAAGAUUAACUUGAGUUGAGAUCAAUCGGAACAUGGAAGAUUUAUAUUCAUUCAAGCAAUUCACUCUUAAAAGUUAAUAAUACAAUUAAGCAAAUGUGAAAAAUAGAACUUAAAGUUACAACUUCAAGUUUUACUCGAGUAUGUAACAAUAUAGACUUCAUAAUCGGAACACUUUUUUAUUUUUAUUUUUAAAAAGAAUACUUCUCUCGCAAUAAAAAUGCAGCAUCCAAUCUUAUCAUUAAAAAACAAUAAGUCUAUGUUAUGAUUUCUACCUUACUUAAUAAGACUAUUUAUUACAUUAAGUACAGGUCUUAUGGGGUAAAAAUAGAACAAAGAACUAAACAUGAAACUAAAUGUCUUCUAAGAUGUUUAAAAACACCAUUGCAUAUGUUAAACUAAAAAGAAAGAAGCAAUCUAUGAACUAACACAUGGUAUUAUCAAAAAAUUUUACCUUUUACGGAGCAGUGAACGUGAGGCUCAUGUAUUAGAUCUUAAAAUCGAUGGUCUCUGAACACCUAUUUGACUUGGAUAGCAAGACAAAUAAUAGAGCAAGCGGAAUAUAUUUGUUAUGGGUAAAAGAAAUUCCAAAGGGUAGAGAAAAAAUGAUUUUUUAAUCACUGAAAUUUAUUUUGAUUGGACAACGGCGGCUGCCAAACUUGUCCAAAAUGGAAACUUUUUCUAAUACUUAUAGAAUAUUAUUUGGGUUCUUGAUUUGGGCGGGAUUGUUUCAGUAGGAAAAGACAAAUGUUGCAUCAAAAUGGAACUGUGAACUCUGUCCUUUGUGGAAUGUUUUUGUAGUUAAUUUGGAAGAGAAAGGGACGAGUAAUUUACUGGUUUUAGGGUUCGGGCUAAAUUAGAGUGGAUUUGGGCUUCUUUUGUUUGGCCAAUUUUGGGCUAAAAAUUUGGGGUCUUUUGUCGGCCAAUUUUGGGCUGACUUUGGGGGGUUUGGCCUAAUUUAUUGGCCUCUUUCCUUCUUCUUCUAAUUUUUUUUUGGGCUUCUAAUUUAAUAUAACUAAUACAAUAUAUAUUAUAAAAUAACAAUUAAUAAUUUAUAAAAUAAAAAUAGCAUAGUAUAACUUUACACUAAUAUAAAGUACAUAUACAAAAAUAUAGAUUUAUAACUAACUUAAUAAAUGCGAAACUUGAAAUAAGAUGAUGACAAUCAAUUAUUUAAGAAAAGAGGUGUAAAAAGUAAUAAUAUAAUUCUAAUAAUAAACACACAAGUUUAGUAGAUAAAUAGUCGUAGUAGUAUAAAAUAGUUGUGAAAAAGAUAAUUUUAUACAUUUAUAAUUUAGAAGCUCGAAAAUAAUGAAUUAGAAGAAAGGAGGGUCAAAAUAGGGUGUCAACAAGUUGUCCCUCUUUGACCAGAGUAGAUGUAAGAGUUUUUGGGCAAAGAAGUUGACGUAAUAGACAAUCUUGUCCCGACCAACAAAUACAAUCUUUGGAGAGUAUGAGAAAAAAUGAUCAUUGAAUAACUGAUGAUGUAGAGAAUUUUGAAAACAAGUUAGUCGUGAGCUUACAAGAGUUGCCCCAGUGUUGAAUUAUGAUGUUAUUGGGUAAUGUGAUUGAGGAGAGUAUUUGAGAUUGAAGUCGAUCCGAGUUCGAGGUAGACCUUUGACCUUUGUUGGAAAGCUAAACUUUCUCAACAAAUUGUCCCAAUUCACUGCUUAGAUAAAGUUCCACGUUGCAUUGUGUUUCUUGUUGCUGCAUGUGGAUUGUGCUUUCUGUCAAAUCUUGAUAAAAUUAUUAGGAAAUAAUUUAAAGCUAGAAAUAUUAAUGAUUAUCUUAUGAAAAAUAUCGUAACGAAAUUGCAUCAAUUCUGAAUUAACACUCCAGAUGCAACUAAUCGAAUAUAUUGCAUUUUCUUUGAACUUAGAUAUCUGCUUUAAAUUAUGUGCUUGCAAGUCUCGUUAGUAAAUUAAAAGAGACAUAUAUAUGUAAUUGAAUUUUUGAAAAAUUAAAAAUGCAUGCAAUAAAUAAAUAAUUAAGGCAUUGUAAAAUGUCUCAUUAGGAAUAGAUAAGUUUUUCAAGAAAUUUAAAUGAUAGCAUGUGGUGCUCAUACGUAUACUUAAAAUUAAAUAAAUAAUUAAGGCAUUGCGAGAUGUCUAAUUAGAGACAAAUAAGCUUUCAAGAAAUUUAAAAGAUAGCAUGCGCAGUAUUCAUAUUUUAAAAAAUAAAUAAAUAAUUAAAGCAUUGCGAGAUUUCUCAUUAGAGACAGGUGGGAUUAAAAUAUCUUAUUAGAGGGUAGAUUAACCCAACAUAUCCUAUUUGAGGGUGGACGAACUCCUUGUGUCAUAGUUUAGGGUGGACGAACUCCUUGUGUUGUAUUUUAGGGUGGAUGAACCUGAUAUGUCCUAUUUGAUGGUGGACGAACCCGUUAUAUCUUGUUUUAGGGUGGAUGGACCCAAUGUAUUCCAUUUUAGGGUGAACAAACCCAACAUAUCCUAUUUUAGGGUGGAUGGACCCAAUGUGUCCUAUUUUAGGGUGGACGAACUAAUAUAUCCUAAUUUAGGGUGGAAGAACCCGAUAUAUCUUAUUAGAGAGUGGAAAAACCCAAUUUGUCCUAUUUUAGGAUGGAAGAACCCAUUAUAUCCUAUUUUAGGGUGGAAGGACCCAGAGUAUCCAAUUUUAGGGUGGACGAACCUAAUGUGUCCUAUUUUAGAGUGGACGAACCCGUUAUAUCCUAUUUUAGUGUGGAAGGACCCAAUGUAUCCUAUUUGAGGGUGGAAGAAUUCAAUAUGACCUAUUUUAGGGUGGACUAACCCAAUAUAUGGUGCAUACUUACAAAUAUAAAUUUUGGUGCAAUGUAGCGAGCUUGGUGCGAUUUCUUUGCGGUAGUUAACAUUCAGAGACAAGUAUGAAGAGCUUGUUGCAGUAUUGAAUAUUUAAGAUGCAGUGCCUUUUUGUAGUAGCAGACAUUAAUGUUGCAGUACUUUGCAAUAGUGCAUAUGGUGCCCAUAACAUAGGAUCUCAAACUUCGAUGAAAACUUGUUGCUUAUAAAAUUUUAUGCUCAAAGAAAAAUUAUGAAUUUCAAAUUUGAUUCUUGUUGUUGUUGCACCAUCUAAAUCUUGCAAAAAAUUUACUUGAUGUUGAGCUUGGUAGUGUUAUCGUUCAAGAAUAACUAAAAAUCAACCUCUGCAUUGGUCAAAGAAAAUUUGUUAGUAUAAAAAAAAUUGUUGCCUUGCAUUGAACCAUGAAGCUUUGGCUUUGAAUCUGCAUUUCUUGUUGCUAUGGCAUUGAAACAAUUUGAUGGUGAAUAUGUGAUCUCAACUUCUGCCUUUUUGAAUAGUAAUAGGCUAUCUGUAAAGUUGUCCCAGUUUUUGCUCUUGGGGGAGAAUGAAUUUUUUAUUAUAUGACCCAAAAUAGACCCAAAUUUGAUGGCGAAUUUGGAUUGUGAUCUCAACUAAUGAUGACCACUUAUGCCCAUUUUAAAAAGAGUAGGAAAAUUUGUAAAGCAAGUUACAGACACAAAUAUUGGAAAAACUUAAAGGAAGAAACUCAAAGGUAUUGAUGAAUUGAGUCAUUAAAAAUAUAAAACAAUAUCAUCUAAAUUGGGGAAACUAAAAAUUUGUACGAGUUUAAGAUAAUUAUGAGCCUAAACAAUACUCUAAAAUCACUAAAAUGCGUUAAGCGCAGAAAAAUUAUUAUUAUAUAAAAUAAAAAAGGUAUGAACAUGUCAUAAGAAUUUGUAAAGAUGAAAUAGGUAAUCAAAAUAAAAAAUAGCUAAAUACAAAUAAUUAUCUCUUCUGAAAACAAGAAAAAAAGAAAGAUGAUGUUAGUAAUGAAAAAUAAAAAAUAGGUUGCAAAUAGUUUCAUAUAAAUCACAUAACAAGUAAGCAAGCAAAUAUUUGUAAAUCACAUAACACAUGUAUAUUAAAUGAUGUGUCCAAAAAUAUAGGUGACCUCUUUAUGUAACGAUCGGGUUCCGUCGCUAUAGAAAAGCCAACGUGGAAAAAUUUUGGGCCGAAAUUUUUUUUCGUAGUAACUUGGAAUUUCUCAACCUAGUCAAGAUUUGGACGAAAUCAGAGUCAUUGAGGUCUAGGAAAAUCUGGUAGAAAUUGAAAGAUUUAAUUAUGAUUUUCAUUACAUGAGUGGUACAUAAGUCGUUAAGGAAUCCAUACAACUUUAUGGAAUUAAAUUAGGACGAGUAGAACUCCCAAAAUUGAUCUUAGCGUGAACGGGUAGUUUCUGAGUGUCGUUGGUUGAAGGCGUGUUGUGAAAUGGGGGUUUUUGGAAUUCGUUAAUUUGCUCACUGUUUCUUGCAAGUCGCUUUGGCGGUGAUUUCUCCCGCAAAGGCGGGGCCACUGUAGCGGGGUGAGAACCAUUGUGGUGGGCCAGACGCGACUUAAAGUCGUAAAUAAACCCCAAAUAUAUUUUAUUCUGCAUUUUUUGAAUUUGAGAGCUAAGGAACGAACCUAGGGUUUUUCUUGACAAUUUUCCACCAUUCUUGAGGCUAAAGGUAAGAAUUUCAAUCCCCGAAUCCAUUUUUCGAUCCGUAGAACAUAAUCGAAUGGGUAAUUAUCAAUGGGGGAAUGUUUUGAUCUAGAAUUUAUGAUGGAAAAAGGCCUAAUUUGGAUAGUGGGAUCAUGGGUAUGAUAUAGGGUUGUUAGAAUUGUUAGUAAUCCAGGUAAUUAGUGAUUGUUUAUCAAUUCCCGUAUUAUAUUGAUUGUUUGUAGACCAAAAAUAAGCGGAACGAAUCCGAAAAGGGACGGAUCAAGUUUCUUAGGGUUUCAUGCUUGUUCCGAGGUAGGUGAUGGUUGUGAUUUCAUGAUUGUGUGAUAUAUGUUUGUUCUUCCUUCAUUAUAAUACAUGCAUGUAUCUGAAUGUUGCAUUAUCGAUCACACUAUUUGUAAAUGAGAAAGAUGAAUGAUGAAUUCCAUGAAUCAUGACUUGAUUGUAUGAUUAUGAGAAUGUACUUGUGAUUGUGAUUGUGGCUUGUUUAAUGGAUUGAGUGUUGCGUUCCGACAGACUAAUUUGAAUAGGUUGCCACAUUCUGGCAUAAAUAUGGGAUCGGUUGCCAUGAUCCGGCAUAAACAUUUGAUUGGGUACCACAUUCCGGUAUGCUAACUGUUUGGGUUUGGAUUCCAUGAGAGGACAAAUGAGUUGACAUGAUUGUGUAUCUUGAGAAAUGUGAAAUUGUACCUUGUUUGUAAUUAUUGAUAAUAUUUUAUAUGUUCGAUUUAUGCAUGUGAUUAUAUUGUUGUAAUGGCUUAUAUAUGAUGCACUUAGUGAGAUACCCGCGUGAUUCUACAAGUACGUUAUGAUUGUCUAUUGAUACUGCACUUGCUCUAUCUUUGUUGAGUACAGGGCAUCUUCAGGCGGCUAUUAACAAGCCUCGCUUAGAAGAUCAGUGAUCGUCGUUCAAAUUCAAGGGUGAGCUAGUUCUUCCGGGCUGCCAUGAGUUCUCUUUCCGUCUAUGUCCAUAUUUCUGACUUAGACUUUCUAGUUAGUUAUUAGUUCACUAGUUUGGAGUUGUAUCCCUUCUUGUUUAGACUUGUUGAACUUAUAUGUUUUGGUACAUUGACUUUCAGAUUCUAGUGUAUUUUCCGCAUUGUUUAGUUAUUAGAUCUUUUGGAAGUUUAUGGAAACUUCAGCCUUAGCUAUUUAACUUGCAUUUGUAACUUUAAUGCUUUAGUUUUUGGUUUAGUUGCUUGGUUUGGGUUGUAGUAGUGGUUCUCCCACCGGAGGGUUAGUGUGGGUGCCAAUCAUUAUUGUCUGGGUCGUGACAAAGUUGGUAUCAGAGCCUAGGUUCGUUGAUCUCGAUGUACCCAAAUGAGUCUAGUAGAGUCUUGCGGAAUGGUACGGGGACGCCUUUAAUUUUCUUCGAGAGGCUAUAGGACUUUAGGAAAUCUCUCUAUUUUCUCUUGUCUCCUUUCGUGCUAUGACUUGAUUCCAAUUGGUAUCUGGCGAUUCAAAUUGGUAUCUAACCUCCUUCACUCUUAUGUCUGCAGAUGGUUAACACUAGAUUCAAUGGCGUCAAGCCCGUGGCUCCCAUCAAUGCUCCAGCUGAGGAAUAUGAAGCGAAAGGUCACGAUCGAGGAAGGGGUAGAGGCCAAGGAAGAGUGGCGCGUACUAGAUAUGGGGUGCCAGUCAAAAAUGCUCCUCAAAAUGAGGCCCCUCCCAUACAUCAUAAAGAGAUAGAGGAGAAUGUUGAGGUUGAAAAUGUUGAGGAGAUUGGACAAGAUAAAGAGGUGCAGGAUGAGACUACCGGUGUUCCUCUCAUAGACCCAGUGUUAGCUCAAUAGAUCAUGUCAUUCCUGAAAGGGUUGGUUGGUCCUAGAGUGCUUCUUAUGCUUAAGCAACUCAAGCUCCCGCCAAUCCUUCUAUUGUUAUCACUAUCCCCAAGGUGGGAGGGAAUAUAGGUAAUGAUGCUUUCUUUCAUCCUUUGUUGGGUUCUGUUAUGAGUGGUAAUGAGCAUGAAAUGUUGACUAAGGUUUUGAAGCUAAAGCCUCCUAUAUUUCUUGGUUUUGAGAGUAAGGAUGCUUAUAAGUUUAUCUUAGAUUGCUAUGAGAGGCUUCAUAAGUUGGGAAUUGUCCAUCAGUAUAGGGUUGAGUUUGUGACGUUUCAACUUCAUGGUGAGGCUAAGUAGUGAUGGAGAGCUUAUAUGGAAUGUAGAUUAACUUUACCCCCACUCUCUUGGACCCAGUUUCAUGCUUUGUUUUAAGAGAAAUAUAUGCCUAGGAUUUUGAGAAAUUGAAAGAAAGAUGAGUUAAUGGCUUUGGUGCAAGGUGGUAUGUCUGUGGCCGCUUAUGAGGCCAAGUUCCAUGCUUUGUCUAGAUAUGCUACCCAAUUGGUGCCUACUGAGAAGAAGAUGAUUUGUUUGUUUAUUAGGGGAUUAAACUCUGAGUUGCAGGUAUUAUUUGUUCAUAUAACCUCUACAGGGAGGAGAUUUAAUGAGGUAGCUGACCUUGUGAAGAAAGUGGAGGGGGUGAGGCAAGACGGUCAGGUUAGGGCAUUGGCAAAAAGGGCCAAGAACUCGGGUAACUUUCAAGGUUCUUAUUUCAGGUGGUCCGGAAGGCCAACACUUGCAGCCAAGCCAAUUCAGUCUGCUAUGCCCGCCUCUACAGGUAACUGCUCAGGAACUCCUUCUCAUAAUUUGAUUCAGGAUAGACAGGGAGUCACGCCUUCGACGGGCGGCAGACCACCUUUUGAUCGUACUUGCUACUAUUGUGGAGAACCUGUUCAUAUGAGGAGAUAUUGUCUCCACUUACGAGUGUUAGAUUCCGCGCAAUAGCAGACAAGAGUAGAGGUACCCGCAGGAAAUGGUAAUAAUGGUCGAGGGCAUCCAUAAGGUGGGAAAGAAGGUCAUCAGUGAGGUCGUGGGGGUAGAAGAAAUAGUAACGCAGGCAGUGGUGCAGUGCAACCAGGAAGGGAACUAGCUCGUCAAGAUGAUAGGGCUCAAUGUUACACCUUUCCAGGAAAGAAUGAGGUAGAGGCAUCUAACGCGGUGAUCAUAGGUACUAUUCUUGUAUGUGACCGGAUGACUAAUGUGUUAUUUGAUUCGGGUUCUACUUAUUCAUAUGUAUCCGUGCGAUUUUCCGCAGCACUUGCUAUUAUUUGAAAUAUACUUGAUGUCCGCCAUCCAUGUUUCUACCCUAGUUGGAAAGUCUGUCAUAGUCACCUAUAUCUAUCGUGCUUGUCCUAUUUUGUUUAAGGGUUUUAACACUUGGGCUAAUUUGGUGAUUUUGGAUAUGACUGACUUUGAUAUAAUCUUAGGCAUGACUUGGUUGUCCCUCUAUUAUGAUGUGCUUAUUUGUAAUACUAAGUCUAUACCUCUAGAAAUUCUGGGAAGGGAACAAUUAGAGCGGAAAAGGGUGUACAAUCCUAAGCAAGCUAAGAUCAUAUCCUCCACUCAGGGUAGUAAACUGGUUGAGCAGGGUUGUUUGGCUUAUUUGGCUCAUAUUCGGGAUGUUGAGGUUGAGUCUCCAUCUAUUAAGUCUAUUCCUUUAGUGUCAGAAUUUAGAGAAGUGUUUCCUAAUGAUUUACCUGGUAUGCCUCCAGAGAGAUAUAGACUUCUACAUUGAUUUAGAACCUGGUACUUGUCCCAUUUCUAUCCCUCCAUAUCGCAUGGCUCCAACAGAAUUAAGAGAGCAUAAGGCUCAAAUCCAAGAGCUUCUUGAUAAGGGAUUUAUCCGUCCUAGUGCUUCCCCAUGGGGUGCUCUAGUUUUGUUUGUUAAGAAAAAGGAUGGUAGUAUGAGAAUGUGUAUAGAUUACCGAUAAUUGAAUAGGGUCACUAUUCAAAACAAGUACCCUUUGCCUUGAAUAGAUGAUCUUUUUGACCAAUUGAAAGGUGCAUCAGUUUUCUCCAAGAUUGAUCUAAGGUCUGGCUACCAUCAGUUGAAAAUUAGGCAUGAGGAUGUGCCUAAGACGACGUUUAGAACCCGCUAUGGUCACUACGAGUUUCUAGGUAUGUCCUUUGGCUUAACUAAUGCGCCUGAAUCUUUUAUGAGUUUGAUGAAUGGGGUGUUCAAGCUAUUUCUUGACUUGUUUGUUAUAGUCUUUAUUGAUGACAUUUUGGUCUAUUCGAAAAGUGAGGAAGAGUAUGUCGACCAGCUUCAUAUUGUUUUGGGUGUUCUUGGGAAACAAAGGUUAUAUGCAAAAUUUUCUAAGUGUGAAUUUUGGUUAACUUCGGUUGCAUUUUUGGGGCAUGUAGUUUCAAAAGAAGGGGUAAUGGUAGAUCCUCAAAAUAUUGAGGUGGUUAAGAAUUGGGUUCGGCCUAGCUCUGAGACGGAAGUUAGGAGUUUUGUGGGGCUCGCUAGCUAGUAUCGUCGAUUUGUGAAGAACUUUGCUUUUAUUCCCACUCACUUGACCAAUUUGACCAAAAAGGAGAUACCAUUUGAAUGGACUGAAAAAUGUGAGGAGACCUUCCAAAAGCUCAAGACUUUCUUGACCACCGCACUUAUUCUAGCAUUACCGGUUGAAGGUAAGGAAUUUAUUGUUUAUUGUGAUGCUUCACAUUCUGGUUUGGGUGAUGUGUUGAUGACGGAUAAGAACAUUAUAGCUUAUUCAUCACGCCAAUUGAAGGUGCAUUAGAAGAAUUACCCAACACAUGAUUUGGAGUUGGCAGCGGUAGUGUUCGCUCUUAAGACCUGGCGACAUUAUCUGUAUAGUGUUAAGUAUGAGGUAUUUACUGAUCAUCGUAGUUUGCAGCAUGUGUUUACUCAAAAGGAUCUGGAUUUGAGACAGAGAAGAUGAUGGAAUUACUCAAGGAUUAUAAUGUGACCAUUCAAUACCAUCCGAGCAAGGCUAAUGUAGUGACAGACGCUUUGAGUCAAAAAGCGAUGAGUAUGGUUAGUUUAGCUUGAUUAAGUGUAACCAAGCGACCUUUGGCGAAGAAAAUUCAGACCUUAGAGUCUAAGUUCAUAUAGUUGGGCAUCUCAGAAAGGGGUGGGAUGUUAGCUAGUAUUAGAUUAAGGGCCACGUUCAUUGAAGAGAUCAAGGCCAAACAAUUUGAGGAUGAAAAAUUAAAUGAACUUAAGAAGAAGACCGCAAUUGGUAAGGCACAAGAAACCACUCUUGAUGAGGAAGGUGUGCUCAAUUUUAAAGGAAGAAUCUGUGUUCCUAGAGUAUAUGACUUGAUUAAGAAAUUGUUGGCAGAAUCUCAUGGUUUGCGAUAUUCUAUUCAUUCGGGUGUAACCAAGAUUUAUCGAGAUUUAAAGCGAAUUUAUUGGUGGCCGGGCAUGAAGAACGAUAUAGCAGAGUAUAUGGCUAAGUGUCAAAAUUGUCAACAAGUGAAGUAUGAACAUCAAAGGCCUGUAUGUUUUCUUCAAAGAAUGCCAAUUCCGGAAUGGAAGUGGGAGAGGAUAGCCAUGGAUUUUGUGGUUGGUCUUCCCAAGACUUUGGGGAAGUUUGAUUCUAUUUGGGUAGUGGUUGAUAGAUUGACUAAGUAAGCCUAUUUUAUUCCGGUAAGAAUAGAUUAUAAUGCCGAACAAUUGGCUAGGGUAUAAGUGAAAGAGAUAGUAAGGUUGCAUGGGGUGCCCCUUUCUAUCAUCUCAGACCAUGGUACCCAAUUCACAUCCAUGUUUUGGAGGAAAUUACACGAUGAAUUAGGCACACAACUCACUUUUAGUACCGUUUUCCAUCCACUGAAGGACGGGUAGUACGAGAGGACUAUUCAAGUGUUGGAAGACAUGUUGAGGGCAUGUGUGAUUGAUUUUGGAAGACAUUGGGAUAAGUUCUUACCUUUGUGUGAGUUCUCUUAUAACAAUAGUUGUCACUCCAGCAUAGAUAUGACACCAUUUGAGGCCCUCUAUGGGAGGGGAUAUAGAUCACCCAUAGGAUGGUUAGAGGCUGGAGAUGUGAAACCUUUCGGGGUUGAUUUAGUGAAGGAUGCUCAAGAUAAGGUGAGGAGUAUUCAAGGUAAGUUUUUAGCAUCCCAAAGUAGAUAGAAGAAGUAUGCAAAUCAUAAGGUAAGAUACAUAGCAUUUCAAACCGGUGAGAAUGUUCUUCUUAAGGUAUCACCCAUGAAAGGGGUGAUGAUAUUUUGCAAGAAAGGUAUGCUAAGUCCGUGAUACAUUGGUCCCUUUGAGGUUCUUGAAUGUGUAGGACCGGUGGCGUAUAGAUUGGCUUUACCUCCAAAUUUAUCGGGAGUUCAUCCGGUAUUUCAUGUGUCCAUGUUGAAGAGGUAUCAUGGUGAUGGGGAUUAUAUCAUUAAGUGAGACUCAAUUGUGUUAGACAAAGACCUCCAAUAUGAGGAGGAACCGAUUGCAAUUCUUGAUCGUGAUGUGCGUAAGUUGAGGACCAAGGAGAUUAAGUCUGUGACAGUUUAAUGGAAGCAUCUUCCAGUUGAGGAAUCUACUUGGAAAAUCGAGAAGCACAUGAGAGACAAGUAUCCCCAAUUGUUCAUCGAUUCAGGUACUACUUCAUCCCUUCUUUAGCCUGUUUUUCCUAAAUUUUGUCACUCGGGGACGACUGAUGGGUUAAUUUGUAUCUAUUGUAAUGACCAAGUUCCGUAGGUGUGGUCUGUGGAUGGCUACCCAAAACAGUCCCAUAAGGCUCGAGACCAAGGCCUGAACCAAUGGACCAUUGGUUAGACAAUGGUCUGUAGUCAGAGCUCGUGAUUCGAGGGCCCAAAAAUCAGUUUCUGAUGACCAACCACGGUUUGCCAGGACAGACCACAGUCCGUCGACUAAGGUCCGUGGAUAGUCACAUGGCAGUUAUUUUAAGGGGCAGUUGGGUCUUUUACUAAUUAAUGAAUUCCUAUACUAUGUCAUUUUGCCUAUAUUUAGAACCCCUAUAUAAGUUUUUUCAACCCACAAAUUAACCCAUUCACUUCAUUCUUCCAAUUUCACAAAAGCAAAACCAAUUUCCUCUCCAAAUAUUAUCUCUCUAGAAACUUGAGGAAGAAGAAAAAGGAUUCUCCUAUGGUUUCAAGCUAAGGUUAUGAUUCCUCCAUUGAAGGCUAGCUUUUGGUCUCAAGGUAUGAUAGUUUUCAUCCAUGGAUUCCUUCCAUCAAUAGAGUUCCCAAAUUCCUCAAUUUCAAAGAUUAGAAUUUCCCAAUUGAGUUAGGGUUUUCUUCAAUUAUCAUGGGUUCUCUUCAAUGUUGAUUUAAAUGAUUAAAUUAUGAUCUCUUAUGCAUUAAUUGAUGCAAUACUAUGGUUUUAUGAUGAUUUCCGCAUGAACCCAUGUAAUCCCCAUGUUUUCAAGUCAUGAUCAUGUGAUGUGGGAUUUUGAUUAUGAAGAAAGAGUUUUAUGAAAUUAAACAUGCAAUGACAAGAUUUACAUGAAUUUAUGAUUAAAUCCAUAUAUAACUCAUGUUCUCUAAAUAAUGAUUAUUGAAAGUGGGUUUUGACCUUUGAAGGGGAAAUUAUGGAAUUAUGCAUGCUUUUAUGAACUGUAUGCAAAUGCUUUAAGGAUACUUUGAGAGUAAAUUAUCAAUAAUGAUUAUGAUGUGUUAUUGAAAGGAUUUUUCUCAUAAACACAUAAUAGUGUGAUGUGAAAGGUUUUCUCACAUAAUAAGAAUUCUUAGGUUGAAAGGCUUUCUACCUAAUUGAAUCAAAGAUUAAAUGUUAUUAUUAAAGAUCAUGGACGGUGACAGGUUUUCUCAUGUAUGGUCUAAGGAGAUAUCUUGAUGAACUAACUUGGUUUGGUUGUUCAAGGGCACCUUUCCAUGGAUUAUGAGAUAAGUCAAGACUUAAUAACUAUUCUGUGAGAUCUUAGCACCGAGUCGAUAUUGAAUAUGAGAUGGAAGCUCUCACGUCAGUAGAGCCCGGGUUUCCAAAGUAAUAUUAUGAGAUGGAAGCCCUCACGUCAGCAGAUCCCGGGUUUCUAGUAGCAAUCUCCUUAUCCCAUAACUAUGUUCCCAUAUAGGCUAAUUAACUAGUUGAUCCAUGUAAGCUAGAAGUUCUUAGUUCUACCUUGGCAAGUAGGACAAUCUUUUUUGGUGUGGGAGACACCGGAUGUAACACCCCACAGCUUAAAGAGGGAUAACUAUCCAAAUUCCAGAACCUAUAGGUGUCACCCACAAGGGCCAACCAUGCCCCAUGGUUGGACCCACGCCCCAUGGAAGGGCUUCGUGGAUGGGCACCUGAGGCACAGUUUAUGGGCAGUGAACCACUGCCAGGACCCACGCCCCGUGGAUGGUUCCACGGUCCGUGGUUAGGGAGUCAUACGUCAAGGUCUUGGAAACCAAGUCCCAGAACACAAACCACGCCGGACCAGGAUGGGCCGUAGGUCCAUUCACAGUCCUUGGUUCAUGGUCACGUGGGUCAAGUCACAAAAAUUAUUUUAGGGACUUAAGGGUCUAUUCCAGUUUUAUUUAAAUUGACGUAGUGUCGUUUUGCCAAGACUUAGACCACCUAUAUAAGUAUUUUUAACCCCAAAAAUCCCCCAAUUAAGUCAUCCUCUCAAAUCACAAAAGAAAACCCAAAUCCUUUCUCAAAUAUUCUCUCUCUAGAAGGUAGAAGAAAAAAAAGAAGAUUGAAGCUAGGUCAAGAUCAAGUGUCCCAAUUUGCAAGAUUUUGUGGGCUAUUUCAGUAAGGUAUGAUGGCUUUUCAUCUAUGGGAUUCUUCCUACCAUGGAGUCCCCUAUAAUUCCACAAUUUGAAGAAGAAUUUCCCCAAUUCUAGUUAGGGUUUCUUCCAUUAUUGUGGGUUAUGAUGAAUGUUGAUCCAAUUGAUUGGAUUAUGAUUGUUUAUGAUUGAAUUGAUAGAAUUUCAUGUAUUUAGGAUGGAAUUACAUAUACCCGUGCCUAUCCUAUGAUUUUAGGGUUGAAUUGAUAUGUCGGAUUUGAUGCCAUGUGAGGGAAACUCUAUGGGUUAGAUAUCUCCUUAUAGGAUUGAUGAUUUAUGACUAGAAUUUAUUUACAUGGAAGCAUAUAUAAUGAAUAUGAUGUUAAUUACUUGAAAUUAAAGCAUAGAUGAUGAUCGUGGGAUGUAGUGCUUUGAGAGUAAAGCCUAAAUUAUGAAAUAUUGAUUGAUUGAUAUUAUGAUUUGGAAGAGAUACUUUCCAUAUUCAAUUGCUAAGCAUGAUUGAAUGAAUGUGAAAGGUUUAUUCACAUGAAUGAUUCUAGGUCGAAAGGAUUGCUCACCUAAAAUGAAUCUAGACCGAAAUACUUAAUGAAUGAUGAGGCUAGAGGUGAUUACCAUUGACCUCCAUAUGUAAGGAUAUGAGCGGAUUCCCCAUACUCCUUUGAAUUGAACAAGAGGUGAGUCCCCACGUUCUGACUAUGAUAAAUGGACAUAGAGGCGAGUACCCAUGCUCCUUAUGAAAUGAUGUGGAGGCUAGUAGCCGCAUCAUAUGAUGAGAUUGUUCAGGCAAGUAACCACAAUCUAAAAGUAAGUAAGGCAAGUGGUGAAUACCCAUUAGCCUUUAUGAACUAGGCAUUGAGGCAAAUACCCAUGUCUUCAAAAGUAAGUAUGACUAAUGAGAUUAUGUUAUAACGUUGAUUUACUUAGAGUGUUGCUAGAUAUGCCCUCCUUGAUGUAAGCUUGACUAGAGGCGGAUGACCUAAGUCUUGGAUAAGGAUAAGUGAGGUUACUUAAGGGAUUAUUCCUCUUUCAUUAUGAUGCUUAUUAUGUAUUGAUUAUGAUUAUGCCUUAUGUCUUAUUUUGACUAACGCUUAUGUUAUGUUGUUUAUGCUAGCCAUCAUAUUUAGAACUUGAUUGUACUAACGUAUACUCUUGCCUACAUUCUUAUCAAAUGUAGGGUCUGGCGUUCCCGAUUCACACACUUGUGGCUAGGUUCCUAGAGGAUUGGAUCACCCUAUCUAUUUUAUGUCUCUCCCUUAUGUUUGAGACUAUUGUAUGGGUUGCGUCCCAAGAUUUCUAUUUUUCUUAUGUUUUGAUGGUUUGAGACAAUGUCAUGUUAGACUUCCACUUGCUUUUAUAAAAGACUUCGAUUGUAUUGAAAAGUUUUAAACUCCUGCUCAUUUCUAUUACUUUAUGUUAUGAUAUUCUAAGUGGCUUGUAUGAGGCCUCUCAGGGUCUUAUAUGCCUUGUUACAUCUAGGAGGUACCCUUGGGUCGUGACAAACAUAGUAAUCAGAGCACAAGGUUUAGAAUGGUUCUAGGAUUUCUCAAACCACCAAUAGAGUCUUGUUCAUAAGUGUGAUGCGUGCCACACUUAUGAAUGGGAUGCUAUUAGAUGCUUAGAAAAUUUCACUUCUUCACUUCCCUAAUUCGUGUCAUGGAGUUUAACUCUAUAAGUCGUUCUCCUAACCCGUGCCCAAUAGUUUUCAGGAAAUGACUACUAGAAGGGCUAACACUAGAAUGUUGGAGAAAGGCAAUGUUAAGCAAGAGGUUCCUCCACAGGUUCCUCCUGUGAUUGACCAGUUUAAUGAAAAUGUGACCAAUGCGGAGUUUAGAUCGGCAUUCCAAGUGUUGGCUCAAGCCAUGAUGGCGCAAGCUAACAGAAAGGUGGUAGCCCUCGUGAACCCUAGUGUGGGUACGACGGCGGCAAGAGUGAGAGAUUUCACAAGAAUGAACCCACUCGAAUUUUAUGGUUCCAAGCUUGAGGAAGACACUCAAGAGUUUAUUGACGAGGUCUAUAAAGUGCUUUCUAUCAUGGGUGUGACUGCGGUAGAGAAGGCAUAGCUAGCCGCUUACCAACUCAAAGAGGUUGCUCAAAUUUUGUUUAAUUAAUGGAAAGAGGCAAGGUCGGUGGAAGCAGGUCCCAUAGAAUGGGAAAGGUUCAAAAGUGCUUUUCGUGAUCAAUUCCUCCCUCUAGAGAUGAGAUAGGCAAAGGUACUUGAGUUCAUCAACCUUAGUCAAGGAAAUAUGAGUGUAAGGGAAUACGCUUUGAGUUUCACUCAACUAUCCAAGUAUGCUCCUUCCAUUUUGGCGGAUCGUAGGGCCAAGAUGAGAAAGUUUGUGUCGGGAGUGUCCAACUUGGCUGUUAAAGAGUGUUGCACCGCUAUGCUUUUCCAUGACAUGGACAUUUCUUGCCUUAUGGUACAUGCCCAACAAACUGAGGAAGAAAAGCUCAAGGAAAGAUCUAGAGAGGUAAAAAGGGCUAGAGUGGAUGAUGGCAACUAUUCUCAUGCUAGCUCUGGUGGACGGGGUCGUUCUAGAUUCUGGCAAAAGUUCUUCGGGCAAGGUUCUACAAGUGCUCCUCCGAGGCCAAGGAAUGAGAGGGUGUCUAACCCAAAACUGUAAGGAGAUGGUAAUAGGCCUCUGAUGCCUACUUGCGCUAAAUGUUGGAGAAAUCAUGAAGGGAAGUGUUUAGCGGGAACUAAUGCUUGUUUCAGGUAUGGAAAAUGGAUCAUAAAAUAAGGGAUUGCACUUCGGUUACUAUAAAUGAUGGAGACACUCUUCGUAGGGCUCAACCCUACCCUUCAUCCGGUUCAAAUGGCUCAAGUGGAAAUGCUUCUAAGAAAACCUGUUUCUAUGCUCUUCAAACUAGUGAUGACCAAGAGAGCCACCCGGACAUUGUGACUGGUAUGUUAAAAGUUUUUCAUAUGGAUGUGUAUGUUUUACUUAAUCCAGGGGCAACUUUGUCCUGUGACCCCAUUUAUAGCUACGAGAUUUUAUGUGCUCCCCGAAGUGUUGUUAGAACCUUUUUCUAUUUCUACCCCUGUGGUUGAUUCUAUAGUGGCUAAGAGUGUCUAUAGGAGGUGUCCCAUUUCCUUAUCUCAUAGAGUCACUCCAAUAUAUUUGGUGGAACUUGAUAUGAUUGACUUCGAUGUUAUUUUGGGCAUGGAUUUUGUUGCAUUCUUGCUAUGCCUCUAUUGAUUGUAUCAGUUUCCAAAUGAGCCUAUCCUUGAGUGGAAGGGGAGAAAUUCUAUGCCUAGAGGUCAAUUUGUUUCUUACCUAAAAGCUUGGAAAAUAAUUUUGAAGAGUUGUGUCUACCAUAUAGUGAGGGUGAGGGAUGUGGAGUUUGAAACUCCUAUUUUUGAGUCGGUCCCGGUGGUAAAAGAGUUUCUGGAAGUUUUUCCCGAUGAUUUGCCUGGCAUUCCUCCCGAAAGGGAAAUAGAUUUUGGGAUUGACCUCCUCCUCGAUACCCAACCGAUCUUUAUUCCUCCUUAUAGAAUGGCUUCGAUGGAACUUAAGGAGUUGAAAGAACAGUUGAAGGAUAUAUUAGAUAAGGGUUUCAUCCGACUGAGUAUCUCUCUGUGGGUGGUCUUGUAUUGUUUGUUAAAAAGAAAGAUGGGUCAUUCGUGAUUGUGUUUAUCGAUGAUGUUUUGAUCUAUUCAAGAAGUGAGAAUGAGCAUAUUGGUCAUUUGAGGAUUGUAUUGCAAAUUCUAAAGGACCAACAACUUUAUGCGAAGUUUAUAAAAUGUGAAUUCUGGCUAAGGUCUUUGUCUUUCUUAGACAUAUCGUUUCAAGGAGGGGUAUUGAGGUAGAUCCAAUUAAGACGGAUGCGGUCAACAAUUGGCCUAGACCUCUAUCAUUGACAGAUAUUAGAAGCUUCUUGGGUUUGGCCGGUUAUUAUAGAAGGUGUGUUGGGGGUUUUCCUCCAUUGCUUCUCCAUUGACGACUUUGACUCAAAAGAAGGCCAAGUUUAUAUGGUCGGAUAUUUGUGAGAAAAGCUUCCAAGAGUUGAAAGAUAGACUUACUUCCGCUUCAGUUUUGAACUUACCGGAAGGAACAUAUGGCUUUGUGGUAUAUUGUGAUGCCUUUAGAGUGGUAUUGGGAUGUGUGCUUAUGCAAAAUGGUAAGGUGAUUGCCUAUGCUUUAAGGCAACUAAAAGUUCAUGAGAAGAACUAUCCUACCCAUGACCUUGAAUUAGCGGCGGUGGUAUUUGCCUUAAAGAUUUGAAGGCAUUAUUUGUAUGGGGUCCAUGUGGAUGUUUUCACCGACCAUAAAAGCUUACAAGAUGUGUUUACCCAAAAAGAUCUAAAUCUUCACCAAAGAAGGUGGUUGGAAUUAUUAAAGGACUAUGAUAUGAGUGUUCAUUAUCACCCCGGAAAGGAAAAUGUAGUGGCGGAUGCUCUUAGUAGGUUGUCCAUGGGUAGUGUUGCACUUGUUGAGGAUGAUAGAAAAGAGUUGGCACGAGAUGUGCAUAGAUUGGUCCGAUUGGGUGUUGGAUUGAUCGACUCCGAUGAAGGUGGUGUCAUGAUCCAUAAUGGUUCCGAAUCAUCUUUUGUAAAUGAUGUGAAAGCUAAACAAUAUCUUGAUCCGACUUUAGUGAAAUUUAAGGAAGCAGUAUUCAAGAAGUCCGUUGAGGCUUUCUCCCAAGGGGGAGAUGAUGUACUUAGAUACCAAGGUCGUUUAUGUGUUUCGAAUGUUAAUGACCUAAGGGAACAGAUUUUGACAAAAGCCCAUAGUUAUCGGUAUUCUAUUCACCCGGGAGCCACCAAGAUGUACCGUUAUUUACGGGUGUCUAUUGGUGGAAUGGGAUUAAAAAAGAUAUUGCAGCGUUUGUGGUUAAAUGUCUGAAUUAUCAACAAGUAAAGGUUGAACAUCAGAAACCGGGAGGUUUAGCUCAAGAUAUUAGCAUUCCCACUUGGAAGUGGGAAGAUGUAAAUAUGUACUUUAUAGUUAGUUUGCCUCGCACCCAGCGCCAACAUAACUCUAUUUGGGUGGUUGUUGAUCGAAUGACAAAAUUGGCAUAUUUCCUUCCCGUCAAGGUUUCUUAUUCGGCGGAAGAUUAUGCCAAGUUGUAUUUGACAGAAAUGGUAAGAUUACAUGGUGUGCCCUUGUUCAUUAUCUCUGAUAGAGGUACUCAGUUUACUUUUUAGUUUUGGAAGUCAUUUCAAAAGGGACUUUGCACUAAGGUUAAGCUUAGCACAGCUUUUCACCCACAAAUUGAUGGGCAAGCGGACCGAACGAUCCAAACUUUAGAGGAUAUGUUGAGAGCAUGUGUAUCAAUUUCAAGGGAAGUUGGGAUGAUCACUUGCCGUUGAUAGAGUUCACUUAUAAUAAUAUCUACUAUUCUAGUAUUGGUAUGGCCCCCUUAGAAGACCUUUAUGGUAGGAGGUGUAGAUCCCAUAUAGGGUGGUUUGAAGUUGGUGAAGUUGCUUUGAUUGGACCCAAAUUAGUUCUUGAGGCUAUGGAGAAAGUCCGGCUCAUUAGAGAGAGGUUGAGAACCGCCCCAAGCCGACAAAAGUCCUAUGCCGAUGAUAGAAGAAGAGACCUAGAGUUUGAGGUUAGUGAUUGGGUCUAUUUGAAAAUCUCACCCAUGAAGGGUGUGAUGAGAUUUGACAAGAAGGGGAAGCUUAGUCCCCGAUACGUGGGCUCGUAUCAAAUCUUGAGGCUUGUUGGUAAGGUUGCAUAUGAACUUGAUUUUCCAAAUGAUUUAGCAAUGGUGCAUCCCGUUUUCCAUGUCUCUGUGCUUAAGAAGUGUGUUGGUGAUCCAACAUCCAUAGUUGCCCUUGAAGGGUUGGGAGUUGAUGAAAGGCUCUCUUGAAGAAGUUUCGGUUGAGGUUCUAGACCGGUAAUUUAAGAGAUUGAGGAAUAAGUAAAUAGCUUCUGUGAAGGUUUUUAGGAGAAACCACUUAGUUGAGGGUGCUACUUGGGAGGCCACCGAUAUGAAGUCCCGCUAUGCUCACCUUUUUCCUCCUAUUCUAGCUAGAGGUAAUGAUUUCCUCUUGGUUUUCUUAUGUUUGAAGUCAUGUGUGUUUUAUGUAUAUCCAUGAUUUCCUUAUGAUUAUGCAUGUUCAUGAAUUGCUUAAGUCUGGAAAGAAAUGGCUUAUGUGCAUUAUUUUUCUUAUGUUGUUGAGUAUUGGGUAUUAGUUGCAUUGCUUAUAGACUUCAUGAGAUGAGUUGUAGAACAUGCCUUGACUUGAAGUGCAGAUCCCCUCCUUGAAAUUGUGUUUUUUGAGAUUGAAUUGCAUAUGAGCUCCAUGAGAUUGUGUUGAGCAUUGUUUUUUAGUUUGGAGAAGGUAGUUCCUCCUUAAGUGUAAGAAUCUGAAAUUUCAUGCAUAUUGGGUUGAUACAUGUAGUUCCUACUCCCGUAUGGUGUAUUGGGUUUGUGGAGUUUUGAGUUGAGAUUUCCUCCAUAGUUGUGUGCAUUUAGAUAUGUUGCAUGCAUGAUGGGAUUCUAGUUUUAAGUCUUUUCGUUUGGAAAUGUUCUUAGAAUCUCAUUCGAGGAUGAAUGAUCCCAAGGUGGAGAUAUUGGAACACCCGUUAGCCUAAAGAGGGAAAACUAGCCAAAUUGCAAAGCCUACAGGUGUCACCCACGAGGGCCAACCACACCCUAUGGAAGGGCUUUGUGGAUGGGCGACUGAGGCACUAUUUUUGGGCAAUGAACCACGGUCAAGACCCACGCCUUGUGGAUGGGUCCACGGUCCGUGGUUAGGGAGUCGUAGGUCAAGAUCCUGGAAAACAAGUCCCAGAACACAAACCACGCCUGACCAGGACGGGUCCUGGGUCCAUCCACAGUCCGUGGGUCAUGAGGCUAGAGGCGAUUACCCUUGACCUCCACAUGUAAGGAUAUGAGGGGAUUCCCCAUACCCCUUAGAAUUGAACAAGUGGUGAGUCCCCACGUUCUUACUAUGAUGAAUGGACAUGGAGGCCAGUACCUAUGCUCCUUAUGAAAUGAUGUCGAGGCUAGUACCUGCAUAUGCCCGCAUCAUAUGAUGAGAUUGUGGAGGCGAGUACCCGCAAUCUAAAAGUAAGUAAAGCAAGAGGUGAAUACCCAUUAGACUUUAUGGACUAGGCAUUGAGUCAAAUCCCAUGUCUUCAAAAGUAAGUAUGACUAAUGAGAUUAUGUUAUGAAGUUGAUUGACUUGGAGUGUUGCUAGAUAUGCCUUCCUUGAUGAAAGCUUGACUAGAGUCGGAUGACCUAAGUCUUGGAUAAGGAUAAGUGAGGUUACUUAAGGGAGUAUUUCUCUUUCAUUAUGAUGCUUAUUAUGUAUUGAUUAUGAUUAUGUCUAUGUCUUAUAUGUUAUGUUGUUUAUGCUAGCCAUCAUAUUUAGUACUUGAUUGUACUAACGCAUACUCUUGCCUACAUUCUUAUCAAAUGUAGGGUCCAGCGGUCCCGAUUCACACACUUGUGGCUAGGUUCCUAGAGGAUUGUGAAGUGAAGCUUUGGUGAGUCCUCAUUGUGUUCGACAAUUGGAUCACCCUAUCUCUUUUAUGCCUUUCUCUUAUGUUUGAGACUAUUGUAUUUGAAUGAAAAAUUAGAGAGUUGGUAUUUGAGUUAAAUCCAAAUGGACUAGAAAUGGGGAAAAAAAUGUAGUGUGAUUUAAUUUAAUUAAUUGUUUAAAAAAGAAAACUGACACACUUUCGUCGGUUACAUUUUUCACACAAUAAUGUAGAGUAACUCUAAACAAAUAUUUUUUUUUAAAAAUGAUGUUCAUCCGUUAAUUUUUUUUUAAUAAAAGAAGAUAUGACGUUGUUUUUUAAAACGAAAAAGUGAAAAUGAAGAACAUAAAUAAAAAAUGAAGAAAUCAUAAAAUUAGUACUUUGUGUUUAAAUGGUAUAUAAAAUAGAGUUGAAAGGUUAAAAUGGAACAAGGCUAAGAUAGAGAAUCAAAUGAAAAAUGGGGGCAAGUUAGAGGAGUUGUGUAUGUGUUUUUAAUUGAUUUUUGUGACAUGUCAUGGCCUGUGAACUACACACAUCUUACUUCGUUAAUUCUUUGGAAAGAAGUACCUAAAUGGAACAUAAAAAUUGGAGUUUAAGGGUACCGGUUAAGGUUGAGUUGGAGUGUCAAAAUAAAAUUUAGGGACAAAUUUAAGGAUCUUUAUAUGUGUUUGAUCUAGAAUUAAAUAAUUAAUGUUGAACCUUGCAAAUUAAAUGAAUAUUAAUAAAAUUUCAAACUCAAACUCAUAAGUUUAGGGUGAAUAGCACUUGUGGCCCCUAUAGUGUAUUGGUAAAUUCUAAUUUUGGUCUCUGUGAUAUAUCACUCAAAUACAUCCAACCAUUAAUUAAUUCAAAUUUAUGUUCUUUGUUCUUUUACGAAGAAAAAUUAUUAUUUUUUCUUGCAAAAUCAUCUUCUUAACUUAUACCUCUUCAACUAUAUACAUUAUAUUCUUAAAUUAGUAUUAAUAAUAUUCAUAACUCCCAAACCUUUCAUAUUCAUAACCUCUAAUUAUUGAAUGUAGAAGGUUAUAUUAACACUAUAAAAUUACACUAAAAUUGUGUGAUAUUUUGUAGUCAUCUUCGGUUAGAGAAUUAGUGGCAAACAUGUUACAAUAUGUUUAAGCUUUGAGGUGCAUUAUCUUUUUCAAAUAUAAUUUCAUAUAUUACUUUUAAUUAGCAAGUAAGGCUAAUAUGUCAAAGCAUAUUUUUGUUUAUUCUGGAUAAAUUAUUUUGGUUUGUUAUCUUUAUGAUUCUCUUUUUAACCCUAAAAAUGGAGAUUCAUUUUAGGACUAAUAAUUUGUUAUUAUUUUUUUUUCUCGACUCUUGUAUAUAGGAUGAAAUAAAAUCAUCCAGAGAUGGAGAUUAAUGGAUUUUGAGCUAUAUAAAUUGAUUAUUCUUUAUCUUUUUUUAGGUGCUUAAGAAGUAUUGUUUCUAUUAUAUUAUUUCCUUUUGAAUUAUUUAUGUCUUGUCAAAAAUGAUUAUAUGUGUAGGAGGAUAUGAUUAAAUGUAAUUUUCUCCGUAUUCUUUAUCUUUUUCUUUUGUUUUGCUAGAUAAUUUUUUAAUUUAUUUGAUCAUAUUUUGCAGAUUAUAGGAGAUAUAUUUAUAAUGAAAAUGGUUAGACAUUCUUGCAUAAUUUUAUUUUACAAGGUAAAAAAAAUUCAUGUCUAACAUAAUUACAAUUAUUUCUUUGUUGAAAUCAUACAUUUAAUAAUAUUUGUUUGUGUUCAUGAAGAUAUAAAUCCUGAGUUUUUUUUAAAAAAAAAAUAAUUAUUCUCUUUAGACCUCUAUGUAAUUCUUAGAUAAUUUGAUUAUAUUAUAUUGAUAACACCCUUCAAAAAAUUUAUUUGUUCAGGUAAAUUUAUCUCUCACUUUUUUGCUAAUAAUAUUAGUUUAUUGUGUUUGUGGGCUAUAAUAUUUUAAAACAUAGAAGCAGGAAAUGAGUCAAUGGAUAUCGAUAUGCUACUUAAAGAAAUACGUACAUAUACUUCUAUAGUCUAGUGGAACAAUUUUUAUUAACAAAAAUGAUAGAAUAUGAGAAUAUAAAAUUAAUUUAUAAUUUUGAAAAUACAGUUGGUUUUAUUAAAAAUAAAUUAUUUAUUAAUGUGUAAAAUUGCACUCUUUAAAUUUUUCAUAUUUUUUUGUUUUUUAGGAGAUUUCAAGUUAUUUAUUAAUAAGUCAAGUUGCAGUCUUUAUAUUUUUUUUCAUUUUUGUUGUUUUCCAGGUGUUCUCAAGUUAUUUUAAAAUUGCGAUUAAUUUAUAGUUUUAAAAAUACAAUUGGUUUUCUUGCUUCCUAUUUACUUACAAUAAAUUAUUUAUCUCAAUAACUCUAAUUUGAUUGUCUUUUCAUUUUCUAUAAUUAUGUUCUUUAUUAGUGUAAUAAUGUACAAAUAUUACUCCUAUUAUGUUACAAACAAGUCCAAAGCCACAUUCUUAAUCCUCUUAAUUAUUGUGACUCUUUAUUAUUAGGAAUUUAUUAUAUUGAAUGUAAUAUUUAUUUAAAAUGUGAAAUAUACUUUUUAAUAUAUUUGUGUUUAAGCCAAGCAAAAUUAAAAGAAAUAGGAAUUUGUUUGUGUCAUUUUCUUAAAUCUUUUUUGCAUAGUUAAUUCUCUCUUUUGUUCUCUUUUAUGUUUAUUUUUAAAUUUAAAUGUAUUUUCUUACAUUCUUUUGUUUCCCAAUAUAAGUUGUCCCAAAAAAUAAUUGGAUAUCUGAACCUAAAUAUAAUAAUAAUAUAUUAAGAUAUGGAAACUAACUAAUUAAGAUUGUUAUUUUUCAUCAUUUAAAUAUGUAAACUUAUUUUUAUUUAAAAUUUAAUUAUUAAAAAGUUAUUAAUCAAAUAUUAAAUUAAUCUAAUAUUGUACAAUGAAAGUAGAUAAAAUAUGUGAUGAUUGGGUGAUGGCGACGACAAGUAAUAGUAAUUGUGGAUAAUGAUUAAAAAUAGUGUUGGCUAACAAUGUAGUCAUGGAUAAUAACUAAUUAAUGGCAAUCUGAGUUUACACAUUGUCGAAAAAUUAUACUAAGAAUAUAAUUAAAAAGAUUACAAAGAAGCAGAAAAGAACAAUCAGAUUUCAAGUUUACAUAAAUAUAGAUAAAUUAUACUAAAAAUUAUCUCAAAUAAAAAAGAAAAAGACGAUCACAUCUCAAGUUUACAUUCCAGUAGUUCUAAUAUUACCUUCUCUUUUUCUCUAUAAAAUUUAUUUUAAUAUUUAACUUUCAGAAGUUCACAUAUAUUGAUUUCUUAAUUUCUUAAUGUAUUUCAUAUUUAACCUAAAUAUGUUUCAUAGCUUCUCUUCUAUGAAAUUGUGUGAUUAAUAAAAACAUCCUUUUAUUAAAGUAAUUACUGAUAUUAGUAUGUAACUUUAUUUUAAUUCUUUUCAUAACCGCGCGAAGCACGGUCAAGUAGACUAAUUUUAUAGAAUAAAUGUACAAAUUUAACCUAACAGGUGACUAAUUAAACAGUGGAAUGGUUGCAAAUGGAUCAAAAAAGGACAGAUUUCAAGUAAUUAAUGUACUUGAGUCAUUUGGCAUGAAUUGGUAUAUUAUAUGGAGGCCAAGAAAGAAAGGAUCAAGACUGUAAUCAUGUUUGACAAAUUUCCUCUUUUGGUUCAGUUCUAAUAUGCAAAAAUGCUAUUUGAAAAGCUCUAAGAAAUAUUGACUAGCUCAUAAUCCCAGGAGUUUGUUGAUCAACCCCAUGAAAGAUUUAUUAUGUACACAAUUCUUGAGAGUCGAAAACAGAUAGCAAGAUUUAUUACAUGUGUUCACUCAGAAAAUAAGUCACUUUUCGUUGCGAGAAAAUACUUUCCUACCAAAGAGGAAGAAAGUGUCUUUGAUCACGGGGGGUAAAUCAUUUUUCUUCACAACUAUCUCAACUCAUAACUUCUUGAUCAUAUCACAUUCCAACCAUCAUUUGGAUAUUAUCAUCAAUCUCUCGAAAUACAUCAAAACACUAUUCAUUCCUCCCCGGGCUUUGGUCUAGUAGAAAGAACACAGCUUGUUAAGAGUAGGUUUAGGCGCACAUCACAGGUUAUCCACUGAAUUACGAACCAUGCAUCGCUACGAUAUAGGGAAUCUCUCAGUGAUAAAAAAGAAGCAUUAUUAUGAAGAGAUUCUAUUAUGAAUAAUUUACGCUCACCAAUCAAAUGUACUUGAAAACAUUUUACACCAAGGUCUUCAUCCCUGCAUGUAACUCAUCAGAAGCAAACAUUAAUUUAACCAUCCAAAGUUCCGAAUGAAUAUCAAUGUUUGCUGUCAACCGUAAGAAAAAAAAUAUGUUAAUUUGGUGAUGCUACAUUACAUAGCAGGGUCAACAAUCGAACUAAAUAGCCAGAAAAAGAGAACUUGUUACAGAAUUGUCCACAGAAACAGGAUGAGAGCCAAUGCCGACUUAGUAUAGCCAUGUUUUUGUUGAGCACCUCCAUAGUAUGGUUCUAUCAUGAGCCCAAAUCGACAAGUACCAGUUGAUGGAUCUGACUUUGUGACAGUUGCGAGGCCAGAGAACUUGCAAGCAUCAUCAAGCUGAUUGUUUAUCUGAUAGUAGCUGUUGAAUGCAUAUGAAAUAUUUCCUCGUGCAUCCAAACCUCCACAAGAUGUCUGAUAUCCAAGGCUCGUGCAGUCUGCAAGUCCACAAGCAUAGCUCAUGCUAGGUGCAAUCUGGGGGUCAUCAAGCUUAGCAUUCGGCUUUAACACACACCACUUCCUCUCCAGAUACUUCACAUUUCUAGCUGGAACUAAGGACCCUGAAUUCGUGGUGCCAAGAUUUAGCGAGUAUUUCGGUAGUCCAUCAUACGUAAGUAUUCCCCAGUGACGUUCAAAAUUUCCAGGUUGGAUACUCUUAGCAUCCUCAUCAAUCAAACUAAACAGAUAGGCAUCAACAGGCCCAGGCCUCAUAGGGGUGCCUUUUCCUCCGGAUAUAUGCUGCAUGAAUCCUUGGUUGAAUCGCUGUGCAAGUUGUGCAUUAGCAUUGCGGUCACCAUCAGUGGGCCAACCAAUUUCUCCAAUAAUUAUAGGCACGUUCCCAAACCCAUUCUUCUGUAAAGCCCACACAAGAGUGUCGUGAUUUGCAUCAAACAUGUUGGUAUAGAUUGUUCCACCAUCAUUUAGAGGUGUUGCAUUUCCAUCAAAGAACGCAUAUUCAACUGGGAAGUUGGGGUCAAUAUAAAGACUUAUAAAUGGAUAGAUAUUGAUUGUAAAAGGACAACCAUUGUCGCUUAAGAACUUGACAAGUUGGCUUACAUAGCCAUGGAUCUCAGCUCGAAAAUCAGCACCUGAUGGGAAAGUGUUGGAGCUCUCAUAAACAUCUGCAUUGAGAGGACAAGUAACCUUUACUUGACUACCGAGGCCAGCUUUUAUGAGUGCAGUUUGGAUAUUUUGCAUCGCAGGAAGAGUUGUUCGAAGGUAAGUGCCAUUGUAAGUUGUCAAGUAAGGUUCAUUUCCAACUGCAACAUACCUACACAAAGUCAAAAACAAUGUGCAUAACAUUCAGGUCUAGCUUACUAAAUGAAACAAAUCUAAUAUUUACUUGUUCGAUGAAGCUCAUUCUAUAUAAAGCUCCUGGUAACAGAUAACGUACAGAAGAAUAUUAUAGAACAGAAAGGCAAAAAAAUAAAAUGAAGCUAGAAAAACAAUAAUUUCG